ACGAACAUGGGUUUGGUUCUUUGUUGACGUCCCAUGGAACAGCACCAGCAGCAGAAGCGUUGAGGCUGUUGGAGAGAUCGAUCAUUGUGGUUUGUUGGUUUGAGGAUAGUGCAGAGAACACCACAGGAUCAGAGGUAGAUGUCUGUGUGUUGGGUUAUGGAAUGUUUGGGGGAACGGGAAAGUUCGUGGGAGCAGGGAACAAAGUGAAGGAAGAGAAAAAUGCCGGGCGUGUUGGUUGGGAUAGGGGAGCGGAGUUGACUUGGACUAUUGACCAAUGGGUCUGUUUCUUGCGAAGACUUCACACGGAGAGUUAAAAAAUGAGUGGUCUCUGCAGUGUGGAGUGUGGAAUUAAACUUCCACCAAGCGAUUUUCGAGCAGGGGCUUCUUGUUAUUGGUACCGUAGUCGGUAAAUUUAAAUUACGAAAUUAGUACGUGAAAAUCACGUACGUAUAUUACUGGCCAACUUUGCAAAAUUGAUAUUUUAUAAACGUGGCUAUUUUUUUUAGGGAUAUGAUAUCCAUAUACCCUAUUUUACUUUUCACACAUUUUUUAUUUUUCGAUCGUCGGAUCGGAUGAAUUGAAGAAAAUCAACGGACAAAAUUUUUUAAGGUGCGUGUACAUAACACACCCCUUUUUUUAAGGGAGCUUUCAUGAAAAGUUUUUUUUUUGUUUUGUUUUUUGUCAAACGAUAGAUUUUGUUAGAUUAAAUGUUACAUUAGCCAUCGACGAGGUUCAAAUCCACGCCGUUAUGUAAGGGCUCAAUUCCUUUCCACUGCUAUGGUAAAGGGUCACUUGCUUCAUGAAAAGGAUUUGGAUUAAGUUUAUUUUAACCAAAAAUCAUGCUAUAACUUUAUUUAAUGAAAAAAAAACUUAAAUUUUAAUAAAAUGACACAAUUUUAAUAUAAAUUAAAAAAAAAUAACCUAACCCAUCCAUCACAAACACUGUUUAUGAAAUUGAACAAUACUAUAUUGUUUAUGAAACUUAAUGGUACUACACUAUUUAUGAAACUGAACGGUACUAUAUUAUUUAUGAAAUUGAACAGGAUUACACUAUUUAUUGGUCCAAAUUCAUAAAUAGUGCCUAGUUCUUGGUUCAUUUUCAUAAAUAAUGCCUAUUUAUUGGGUCAAGUUUCAUAACCAAUGUCUCACUCUUGGUUCAGUUUCAUAACUAGUGCCUAGUUCUUGGUCCACUUUCAUAUAUAGUGCCUAGUUCUUCGUCAUUUUUCAUAAAUAGUGUCUAGUUCUUAGUCCAGUUUCAUAUAUAGUGUAUAGUAAUUGAUACAGUUCCAUAAAUAGUAUCUCUGACUUGGUCUAGUUUCAUAAAUAGUGUCUCUUUUUUGGUCUAGUUUCAUAAAUAGUCUAUUUCUUGGUCUAGUUUUUGGUUCAGUUUUAAAAAUAGUGCAUUCUCUGAUUUCAGUGCAUCCUCUGAGCAACAAAUGAUGGUGAUGAGGUGGUGAUGCCCAUGUCCAUGGCAUUCUUCAAGAGAUACUCAGUCGUUCCUCCCUUCUUUUUCACGUUCUCUUCCUGAGAUACCCAAAUCAAACACAACCCUUGCUACGAAGCUAUAGAGCUUUGUAAUCACAUAAAAAUGUUGGAGUGGUGAAAAUUUUCUUAAGAAAGUUGGAGAUCACCCAGCGGCGGUGAACAGGAAAUUCCAUAAUAACAAAAAAAUUACUAAAAAAACACAAAAAAAAAAAAGAAAACAAACAAAAUUGAAGUGGGUGAAAACCCUGAAAACCCCAAUGUUUGAAGAAAUUGAUGUUAAGUACCUGGGAGUGCUCAUUGAGUUGCACGCGCGCCAAUAAGGGGGUUUUUUUUUUCUUGUGUCUUUAUUAUUAAAUAAAGUUAUAGGAUAGCUUUUGGUUAAAAUUUAAAGUUUUGGAGUCAUUUUCAUUAGUUUUCAUUUUUACUAAAGACUUACUUUUAGCUAUGUCAUCUGAAACUCGAAUUUAAUCCAAUUUUGUUCAUUGCAGCUCAAGAGUCGCCACUUUACCUCUGAAACUCAAAGUUCACUUCACUUUGCUACGUGGAAUUCGAUUUUGAUCUCAUUUUCCCCAUGAAACUUGAAAAUCUUCUCUAUAAAACUCAAAAUUCUCUCCACGUUGCCUUAGAUUUGUUAAUCUCUGAUGUGACUUUGAUUUGGGUGCACCAGGAAAAUCAAUUUAUUUUUUACUUUUCAUCUCUUUAAUUUCUUUUAAACUUAAUAUUUUUUGAGUCUAGAAUGUUAACACAUAAUAGAGAUUUAUAAUCAAAUUUGUUGCUCAUGUGGCAUAAUCUUAUUGGUUGUUGGAUCCCACAUAUGUUUUAGGAUGUGACAUAUAAGUUUUAGGAAGAAGAGAGUCCACAAGUCAAAGUGGAACGAAUUUUGAGUUUUAGGAAGUAAAGUGGUGAUUUCAGAGUUACAGGAGCCAGAAGGCAAAGUGAGAGCAAAAUAGAGUUCUACAGAGUGUAGCUAAAAAUAAGCAUUUUUGAAUUUAAUAUUCAAAAAUGUUAUUUUUACCAUAUAUUUGUACCAUUAUUUGUAUCAUCUUUCUAAAAGAGAUGAAAAUUUAUUUGUAUUAUUGAAAAUUAUUUAAACGUGUAUUAAAAAUAGGUUUACUUCUCACAUCUCUUGAUAAUUUAUGUCCAUUGAUAUUCUUCAAUUCAUCCGAUCCGACGACCGAAAAUUAAAAAGGUGUGUGAGAAGUAAAAUAGGGUGUGUGGAUAUCACACCCCUAAAAUAAAAAGUAUGUAUGUACUUGUAGAACACAUGUAUCAUAUAUUAGAGCUUAAAAACAAGUGCAAUCUUUAAGAUGUACAAAAAUUGUACCAUAUGCAUAUUACAUGUGAAUUUACUAACUAUAAACUCAAAAUACAUACAGGAAGAGACUCUUGCAUCCAGGUCCCCAAAAUGGGUCGUGUGACAUCCAAACGCCAACAAGAGUUUUCCUUGUAUUUUUCGUAAGUGUAUAUGUAACGUGACACGGGAACUGACACGGGAACUGAUACUUAAAAGGAUUCCUCAAUUCAUAUGGAAAGAGAUCCUCUUCGGAUCUCUCCCUUCAAAGCCACCAAAUUAAGUGAUCUAGACUUUUGAAAUUUAAUCCAACGGCUAAAAACAGAGAAGUUGGUAAAAAAAAAAAUUAUAAGCUAUAAUAGUUUUUAACCGUUGAAUCAAAUAAAAAAAAGCCGGAUCAUUUGAUCUGGAGGCUUUAGAGAAAGAGAUCUGGAGAGGAUAUCUUUCCAAUACAUACGGCCCUAUAAAAGUUUCUAUCAUGUGGAGCCAUGCUUUACUUGAAAACUAGGUUGUUCAAAAACGCGUAAAUGGAGAAAGAAGAAGUUAAAAAUACAGAUGAGAAUGGGAAGGUGCAGAUUGAUUCCACUAAAAAUCGUUUGUUACUGGAAAAUGCGAUUCCCUUGAAGUCAUGAAGGUUUUAAUUCGAUUGGUUAACAUAGUCGUCUCGACCUUGGCGGUCAUGUCGUGAAUGAUCGGCUGCCCUUUUUCUGGGCCCGCCACUGACUUUUGUGCUUUGAACCGGGCCUGCAUUGACUGACCAGUUGUUGUGUUUGAUGUGUUGGUUGUUUUACCUUCCUCGGAUCAAACUGGCCACCAUUUGACGUUCUUUCAAAGCCUUAAUAAUUGGAUCACUAGUUCAAUUUUCCGUUAUUUCAAUAAAUAAUUGGAUCACUAGUUCUUGAACUUGUUUGGGAUAAAACUUAAAUUUUGGGCUAAAAAAGGGGGUUAGCCCAAAAGAAGGUCCAGAAAGAGGAAAAGUCUAAGGCCCAGCCAAAGCCCAGAAGAAAGAAGGAGCCUUUUUCCUGACUAAGUGCAGAUCACUCAAACCACCUGCUCACCUACCUAGAGGUCAAGUGAUGUAGACCAGCCAGCUAAUCAGCCCAAAAGUACUUUACAAUGGCAGUACAAGUAAAAAGCUGAUGAGUCACUACCCUUCAGAUGCAUUCGAGCAAAAUAAAUACUGCAGGCAGCCAAGCCAAAUCGUCUAUAAAAAGAGGAAGAAAAAUCAGGGACAAGGAUACUCAAUCAAACAAACAAAUACAAGCACAAACUCUGCUCAAACCAGGUUUGCCUUCACGAAGCUGUAGUCAGCCCCUAAGCCUUCAUCCCUUUAGGGAUCAACCUUCACCAGAAAGCCUUUGUAAAAGCUCUGCUACCCUGUCUAAAUCUUGUUGUAGUAUCGAUUACCUCCUGUAAACUCAUCUCCCAAUCUCCCUUUCUAGCAUUCAAACCCUUUGUAAAUCACAAAGAGAGGAAGUUGCAAGACGAUCAGCCUUGCCUGACAAGGUGAAAUCUUGCCCGACCUCCUUUGUUUUUGUUUUUCAUUCAUAAAUCUAGUAGUAUGAUGUAUAUUUCCAGUGCAUCCAAGUUAUUUCUAGCCAGUUUAUGAUUAAAAGACUUUUAAGUUCUAACCAUUCGGGCAGACAAGAUUUAUCAAUUAAAAGUCCUUGAUCUCAAGGCAUAAAAAGAACCCUAUGUGGACUUAACCCAUCCACGACAGUCCUUGAUAACAAGAAGUCCGAAGUUACUUGGGGCACAAGUAAUUAGCCUAUUUCUUAGUUUUACUUCUGUUAUAUCAUGAUUGCUACAGAACGCUUGAGUAAAGAAUUAAUUCUGAUGGGAAGCCUCAUGGCCUAUAUCUAAGGCUCUACAAAGGCACCUAUUUGAGUCCGUUCUGCUCUGCGGGCUCGAGCGAUUAAGGUAUAACGGUUGUGAUACUUCUACAACAAUGAAACAACCAAUAUAUCUUCGAGUACUUGAUUAGUUUUGAUUGGAAGCCUCAAUGCCUACACCUAAGGCUCUACAAAGGCAUCUUUCAUUACUAAAUUCGUGCAUAUUUAAUCAAACUGAACAUUUGUUUUACAUCUAUCAUGCUAAAGAUGGCAGUGGCACGCCUGAACACCUAAAGGUUAAUUUUGAUUGUGAGCCUCAAGGCCUACACCUAAGCCCCCAUAAAGGAACCUUUCAGGAUUAACUCUGUUAUUCUCUUAUAGCCCGCCAAUAAGCAGAAGCCCGACAGACAAUAUCAACCGACGCCAAACCUCUCGGGGAGCUGUGUGCUCGUUGGCUAAGAAAAGUCCCCACUAGAUAUUCCUCAAGACGAACAGAACUAUUAUCAAAUUAUUGUUUUGGUGCCUUGAUUACUGACGGAAAUUACAUCAGUGUGUGCGAAUAUAACUAUGGUUGUAAAGCCGAACCUAAACUUGUUUAAUUAUUUCCGAGCUCAAGCUAGGUUUGGCUUGGUUCUUACAUGAGAGCACAAUAUUUUUAGGUUCGGAAAUAAUUAAACAAGCCAAACUUGUUGCUAGCUCUCUUGUAAGAAGGGGAGGCUGCAGAUGAUAAUUAGUCUUUGCAAUCCUGCUGCUAGCUAGCAUUUUUGAAGGUCCUUGUUGGUAAGAGCGCAAAAAUUGUUUUGUUCUUACAUUUCUUUGUAUCGAGUGAUGUAUCUGUCAGAAAUUGUAUCGAGUGAUGUAUAUGUCAGCAAUUAUUUUGUUCACACAUUCCUUGUAGUAUAGGUUACUUAAGUAGUUCUUUUCGGGUUUGUUUAAAUCAUGGAUAUAGAUAGUUGUACAUGUAUACACAUGUCAUAUACAGGGCAGGCCUAAGCCUAGUGUGGGCAAGGCGACCGUCCAGGGCCCAAAAAAAUUAUGGGCACCAAAAUUAUUAGUGUGGCAUAUUUAUAUACAUUUUCAUACGAGUAUAAAUUUAUUAAAUUUGGUUUAAUGACAAAGAAUUUUAACUAGAAUCAGUGAUUUUGUUGUUUGAAAUUAACGAGGUGGUCUUGGGUUCAAAACAACAUGUGUGCUUAUUUAAGUUUCAAUUUUUACAAAUUUCUUUUCAUAACAAUAUAAAUUUAUAAAAUUUAGCUAAAUGAUUAGAAGUUUAAUUAGAAGCAAUGGUUUUUGUAUUUAAAAUUAACAAAACAUUCUAAGUUCGAAAUGCUAUGUGCAUGUUUAUUUUUUUCAAUAUUUACAAAUUUUUGUUUGGUUGCUAAUUUAUUUUUAAUUACUAGCUAGUAACUAUGUAGGUUGCUAUUUUGAAAUAGUCGUUCCAAUUCAAGUCUAAUCUACAACAAAGGGUAAAGCGUAUACUAAAUUUUGAGACCAAAUUUGCAAAUCAUAUAACGUGUCAUCAAAAGGUUUAAUUUGGUGCCCAUUCAUUACUUAUACAUAUCUUUAAAGACUAGAAAAUAUCAUUAUUUUUUUAGUCUUAUAUUGAUGAGGCUAUAACUUUAUUUAAUGAAAAAAAAAACUUAAAUUUUAAUGAAAAUGACACAAUUUUGAUAUAAACUAAAAAAAAAAAAAAAAAAACCUAACCCAUCCAUCACAAAUACUAUUUAUGAAAUUGAACAGUACUAUAUUGUUUAUGAAACUUAAUGGUACUAUACUGUUUGUACCAUACUUGACCAAUCCUGAAACUACUGAGCACCGGUCAACGUUAUACCGUCAAGGACCCAGAAGAGUUUCCUUCCAACCAGGAGGCCAAUCACAGCGCGACAAGUGUCGACAUCAGAAGCCAAUCAUAGCGCGACACGUGUCAACAUCAGAAGCUAAUCACAACACAACAUGUGUCAACGUCAGAAUGAAACUAGAAACUCUCUUCUAUAAAUAGAGAUCAUUCUCUCAUAAUAUUUCCGAAUGUCAUUUGUACUAAAUCAUUCACUUGUACUCACUAAAGGAGAGCUUGAACCUAUGUACUUGUGCAAACCCUUCACAAUUAAUGAGAAUUCCUCUACUCCGUGGACAUAGCCAAUCUGGGUGAACCACGUACAUCUUAUGUUUGCUUCCCUGUCUCCAUCCAUUUAUAUACUUAUCCACACUAGUGAUUGAAGCAAUCUAGCGAAGGUCACAAACUUGACACUUUUUGUUGUACCAAAGUCCCCACCGAUUUUGUGCAUUAACAUUUGGCGCCGUCUGUGGGAACGACACUUAUUCUCACUCUCUUCAGCUUUGCCAAGCUGGUUUCCACCACUCGUACAUUCUCUUCUGACCAGGCAUCCUCUUUAACAUGGGGAGCGAAAGAAGCCACAACACACAGAAUGACACCCCUCUUGCCCUAGUGCAAAGCAACGAAAGAAUGAAGGAAAGAUGGUUGCUCUUUAAGCUAAAGUCGAUGAGCUAGAAGCUCAGAACAACAAGAUAGCAAUGAAAAAUGAGGUCCUAUAGGAACAGUACGAGAAGCUCUUUGAGACGUUCCACGAAACUAGGCGUACUCAAACACAUGAGCUCGUUGCCCCUAUGGACAUUAACCAUCAUCUGGGUGCCCCCCAACACGGAGGGUCACCUCCCUUCGACAUGGAUAUCCCUAAUGAGGAGCGAGCUAAUUAUCAAAACAUUGAUCAACAUGAGACGUAUCUCAACCCAGAUGCUUCGACCCGAAGUAGAAGAAGUGGAGGAAGACACUUCCUUGCAGAAGGGUUGGAAGGAUCGAAAGUCGUUUAUCGUGACUGCCGAGACUUCCUAAAGCAACGUCGAGAGAAUCCCCUCCAUAUAUGCUCAAAGAUCAAUGACCCAAGGGUUUAAAAGACUCGGUUCCCUCCCACGACCCAGGCCAGCUGUCAAUCUAGGGAAAAAACUACAGGUCCCAGAGGAACAUCAAGGUACGGGGGACUUUGAGGUAUUCUGAUAGACUCGCCUUAGAAGUCAAUACAGUGAGUCCAAGAAAAAACCACACGCCCUUGCUCAAACUUUCCUACUUCCAAGAGACGAUGGAGACUUAUGAAAGAAAAUUCCAGUAGUACAUGACUCCACUCAGGACUCCCUUGUCCUACAGCUCAUUGAGGAAGUAAACAAGUUGAAGGCCGAAUGUUAGGCUGAGAUACCUGACUAGAACCAACUCAGGCCUGGCCCUCUCACAAGAUGGAUCCUCGACACCUCCUUCAAGCGAAGACAAAACAAAAACUUGGUUUACAACUCUAUACUGGAAUGGAGGACCCAAUUGAACACCUUAACCUCUUUGAGUCCACCAUGGCAUAUCGGAUGAACACCGACGAAGAGCGAUGUCUUCUCUUCCCUUCCACCCACUCUGGUGGAGCUCUAAACCGGUAUUGCCGUCUUCCACCUGAGACAGUAGACUCAUUUGAGGAACUGAGGAAAUUGUUUGUCUCUCAACACAUCUUCCAGACCGAUCGCUUGCAUUCUACAGAUGACUUGUACACUAUUUGCCAGAAGCCAGACAAGUCACUACGAGAGUAUGCUGGUUGCUUCAGCCAUGUGUAUUCUCUUUGCGCUGAGGCAGAUGACAAAACCGCCUUCAAGGCCUUCACGACAGGCCUACGUGAUUGUUUCUUCAAGUACAUGAUCAAUGCCAACACUUGGAAGACUUACUCUGAGGUGAUGACACAGACUUACAACCACGCCUCUACUGAAGCAAGGACAUACCAAGGGAACCCCCAUAUGGUUAACCCCUAUCAACACGUGGUAAGUUGAAGUCAAGUUCUGCCAAGUGAGGAGAUCUUGGCCAUUCAGACACCCAUUGCAUCAUCUCCUGCCUCAUUUAGUUACUUUUUAAGUCACCAAACGUAUCUAGUCUCUUGGUAAGAGGAAGGAUUUUUACUCUCAGCAAGCCCAUUACAACAAGAGGGAUAAAAGUUCGUAUCAAGACAACCAAGGGUGAACGUAUCGUCGACUAUUAUGACUAUGGGGCCAAGCUUCACUCUUUCAAAAUGGAUGACUAGGUACUGAAGGAAAUGCUAUUAUAAGAAGGUAUACACAUUACAAAUGUUUUGACUCUCAACUGCUUGAGAUCUUUUGUCACACAAGCCAUUCGGAAAAUAUUUAAAGAAAAGGGAAUUCAGACAACUUCUCUUGAGUAUUUUGCGUUCCUAGCACUGGAACACUUGGUCUACGCUGACCUACCCUUAUACUCCAACUCAGAGCUUCAACAUGCGUACUUUGACACAAAUAUAUGACACUAAGUGUUACAACCAACAUGGUUCACAUAUCAAAAACAUGGAUCCCUUCAUGCAUAGCAAAACAUUCAUAAGCAUCACUCAUAUCAAUCAACAUAAACAUCAUGCAUUCCAACACAUUCAUACAUAAACAUCAUACAUUCCAACACAUCCAUACAUAAGCCAACUGUGCAACUGUUUAUUCUCAUGCUUAAGCCCUCUAAUGUCCUGUUUGAGAUUCAUCACUUCAGCCGCCAAUGAUUCAACCUGGCGGGUUCGAGCAAAUAGGCGUUGGGCCAUAUUAGACACAGAACCUGCACACUGAACAGUGAGAGCCAGAGAAUCCUUAACAGCUAACUCAUCAGACCGUUUGGACAGUAGUCUGUUAUCUUUGGGAGUGAGAAGGUUUCUGGCCACCACCGCAGCGGUCAUAUCAUUCUUCAUCACGGAAUCCCCAACGGUAAGAGGACCAGUAGGGGAGACGAAGGAUGGGCGCCAUAUGUUGUCUGGAGAAGGCGGAGCUACCUCUUCAACAAGGUUCAAGUCAAAACGACGAUCGGAGGGGCCAGACAUUUUCAAAGGUGUUGAAGAGAGAAGAGGUCGGACAAAUCAAGAUCUUAGAAGUGCAAGAAUGGAGCUUCUACUGGUGGAGAUUCAAGUGUGUUUUGGAACUUAAUGCCAGCCCCUAUAAAAAUCUGCACUCGACAGAGCUUCAGAAAUCGAAGAGGCGCCUGCUCAGAAAUCGAAGAGGCGUUUGCUUUCUCAAAAGCUGGGCUGCUCAGAGACCACGAGGGUCGAUCUCAGAAAACGAAGAGGCGUUUGCUUUCUCAAAAGUUGGGUUGCUCAAAGACCACGAAGGCCGAUCUCAGAAAUCGAAGAUGCGCUUGCUUUCUCAAAAGCUGGGCUGCUCAGAGACCACGAGGGCCGAUCUCAGAAAUCGAAGAGGCACCUACUUUUCCAGCCUUGUCAGCACCUGUCACACGCACACUCAGCUUUGCGAAAAUUAUGGGCAUUCUAUCGACGGCUUCUGGUGAAGUAGAAAACACAUGAGUCUUACUGUUCAAUCACCCACUUCCCACACGCAACCUCUGACAAAGAAGGGUAAAAGAAUAGCAAAGAAACAGCAAUAACAAAGUUUAGACACAUAAAUUUUGAAGGUCUAGCUACCAUAUUAUUACCCACAAGGGUAAAAGAACAGUACCACUGUUGGAUAAUUGGAAAGUCCCUGUGUGUCAACCUCUGUGCUUCGUGGCAAGGUAGACUAGCAAACAUGCCCAACCUUUACUCACAUUCGAGAAAACACUCCCAACAAGAUUGCUUGCUCCAAAAUCGAAGAGGCACCGUCCUCCGAAUCUCGAGAGCCAGACUCCCAACAUGACUACUUUCUCAAAAAUCGAAGAGAGGGUAAAAGAACAGUACCAUUGCUGGAUAAUUGGAAAGUCCCUAUGUGUCAACCUCUGUGCUUCGUGGCAAGGUAGACUAGCAAACAUGCCCAACCUUUACUCACAUUCGAGAAAACACUCCCAACAAGUUUGCUUGCUCCAAAAUCGAAGAGGCACCGCCCUUCGAAUCUCGAGAGCCAGACUCCCAACAUGAUUACUUUCCCAAAAAACGAAGAGACACCACUAUCCGAAUCUCGAGAGCCAGACCCCCAGCAUGAUUACUUUCUCAAAAAUCGAAGAGGCAUCGUUCUCCGAAUCUCGAGAGCCAGAUCCCCGAUAGGAUUGCUUGUUCGAAAACCGAAGAGGCAACACUUUCCCAACUUCAAGAGCCAGAUUUCCUUGGAUAAAGCUGUCUGUAAUCUUCACACGCAACAUCACCUUUCCAGAUACCACAGACCACUUUUUCAAAGUGCUCUGACAGAGUUAAAACAUGUGAAGCUGGCAGCUCCCACUACCGUGCUAUGACCAAGUAGGGUAAAGGAAUAACAUUACUACUUGUUGUUAAGGAGACUCCUAUAUAUGUCCACCUCCAUCCCCAACGGACAGGCAGACCUGCAAAAAUGCUCAACCCUUCCUCAUAUCUGAGAGGGCACUCCCAACGAAGCCUUUCGAAAUAUUCAGCUUUCUUUCCCCCCCAUAAUAUCUCUGCAAACAAGCUAUACUAGAGCAAGAAUAUCUCAUAUCAUCAGGGUUAAAAGCAAGAGUAUCCCAUAUCAUGCUUUUUCCCUGUCUUUUCCUUUGGCCUUGUUCUUAUUUGCAAGACAAGGAGAAAGAGAGCAAUCAGUCAGCACUUGGAAUCAAGCUUCCAGCCAGGAACUGACUGCCUGGAACCCCUUACCUGAUUACUUACCUGCCAUUGCUCUCGAGUACUCAUCUUCAACAUCUUAUGCUUCCAGGGAAGAUACCGCAUCUGCCUGAGGAAUAGAUAGGGCAAGGGAGAAGGAUACAAGGAAGCAUGUGGAGACAAGCGAAACAGCACACAUGCCGAUACAUCCAUUACUCUGUCAAAGCAAAAGUAUCCCAUAUCAGCAGGGUCGAACGUACUCUAGAUUUGAUGGACUUGUUUUGACCCUCAAAUUCUUCAGUCGGCCUUAUACUCUGGAGGAAACCAGAAAACCCUCCAGCUCAGUUCAAGAAUAAGCUUGUGGAAAGUUACUUCUUCAAAAGCAAAAGUAUCCCAUAUCAUCUCUUCUCAUUUUCUUCUCUUUAUCCUUCAUGCUGCCUGCAAGAUAGGGAGAAUGUGAACAAUCAGCCGGAGCUCUGAUUGCUUACUUUGUCUGUCACCUCUUUCAGCAGAUCCUCUAGCUCGGCGACUUGGGGGACUCCUACUACAUGGUUUGUAUCGCGCUUGACCAAGCCUGAAACUACAAGUAAGCUUCAAGUGAAAUUGAUACAUUACCUUGUGCAUCUCCACCAGUUAAAGAUACCACCCAUGGAUGGAGGAAGAGUACUUCCAGAGAAGAUGCCACAUCUACCUAUAAGACAGAUAAGGCAAGUCAAGACGAUACCGCACUCAAAUACUUAGAAGUUUCGUGAUUACGAGAUCAUUCUCCCACAAUAUUUCCUAAUGUCAUUUGUACUAAAUCAUUCACUUGUACUCACUAAAGGAGAGCUUGAACCCAUGUACUUGUGUAAACCCUUCACAAUUAAUGAGAACUCCUCUAUUCCGUGGACGUAGCCAAUCUGGGUGAACCACGUACAUCUUGUGUUUGCUUUCCUGUCUCUAUCCAUUUAUAUACUUAUCCACACUAAUGAUCAGAGCAAUCUAGUGAAGAUCACAAAAAGCGACCGUUUUCAUUACCUAGGAUCUAUCGUGCAAGAGAACGGAGAAUUAGAUGGAGAUCUCAACCAUAGAAUACAAGCUGGAUGGAUGAAGUGUAAGAGUGCAUCCGGCGUGUUGUGUGACCGUCGUAGGUCACUGAAGCUCAAGGGAAAAUUUUAUAGGACGGCAAUAAGGCCAGCGAUGUUGUAUGGCACAGAAUGUUGGGCGGUGAAGCAUCAACACGUACACAAAAUGGGUGUGGCGGAGAUGAGGAUGCUUCGUGGGAUGUGUGGGCACACGAGAAAGGAUAAGAUUGGGAAUGAGGAUAUCCGAGGUAAAGUAGGAAUAGCCGAAAUUGAAGGAAAGAUGAGAGAAAAUCGGUUCCGGUGAUUUGGACAUGUGCAAAGAAGGCCUACUGACGCUCCGGUCCGAAGAUGUGACUACGGGACAGAGGUUCAGGGCCGAAGGGGUAGAGGAAGACCUAGGAAAACUUUGGAAGAGACUCUAAGAAAAGACUUAGAGUACUUGGAUCUAACGGAGGACAUGACACAAAACCGAGCGCAAUGGCGUUCUAGGAUUCAUAUAGCCGACCCCACUUAGUGGGAAAAGGCUUUGUUGUUGUUGUUGUUGUACUUGUAUGUCUACAUAUAGGUUACUUUUCUUGUGUACUUAUAUUAUCUUUUAUACUUGUUUUAUUGACAUUCAAAGUGCCCAUAUUUUUAGUUCUGAUUUAAGAUGACGACUGUGUUCUGUUUUUAUAGGUACUUUCACUGUUUCUAAUCUUGGGAUGUUUGGUGUUGAUCGGUUUGAUGCUAUUCUGCCACCUGGAACUGUAAGCGUUGUAUUUUAUGCCUUUUCCCGAUUUAUUUUCUGUUCGAGUGAUAAUGCAUGUUGUAUGUUGGUUACAAUAUUUGUGCGUUUCUGGUUUCAAUUUUCACAGGGAGCAAUUAUGGCUGUUGGAUCAUCUCAGCCUACUGUUGUGGCUACCAAGGAUGGUCGGAUUGGACGGAAGAACCAAAUGCAGGUAAGAAAUUUGAAAGCUAUACAUAUGGGUAUGAUACAUAAAAAGGAAACUACGAUUUCUAACUCUUGGAACAUGCAAUUAUUUGCAGGUAAAUGUUACUGCUGAUCAUCGUAUAAUUUAUGGCGCUGAUCUGGCUUCAUUCUUGCAAACCUUGGCCAAGAUUAUUGAGGACCCCAAAGAUCUUACCUUCUAGUCUCGAAACGUCAUGUCACCAAAUGUUCCCCGCUUGGCUUUCAGAAUGUCUGGGAUUUUUCUCCGUAUGAUCUCGUCAGGCAUGCUUCUACCGUUGCUAAUCAUUUAGGUUUGACGGGAGGCUUGUUCAAUUCUAUAUGACGAAUAGGAAAACAAUUUUGAACAUUAAUGCAUAAUGAGUUUUAGUUCCAGUUCAUCAAAGGUUCUAUCAUAAAAUGUUGCUGGCCGUUGUUUUUUCUCAGUCGUUUUCGGGUUUUUAGAGUUGGCUAUUGCAUGAAACUGGUUAUCUAGGUUGUAGAAGUAUGUAUUUGCAACUUAACAAGCAUAUCCAUGAUACAAACGUAUUGCUACCGAAAUCCAAUUCGCAAAAUGUUUUGAGGACUUCGUAUGUAUCGUGCCUAUUUUCAACUAACAUGAAGCAGUGGUACAACAAGCAACGCAUUGUUUAUAUAUUCGCGUUCAGUUUAUAAAUUUUCUACAUGUUACAUUACUUCCUAUAGUUGCCAUAUAUUCUAUGGCAAGAUAAGCUUUAAACUACAUCGAACGACUGAUAUUCUAGUUGUAGGAACUGACCGAAGCUUCGGGUUCAUCCCAUCUUAUGCAUGGAACUUGUAUUCAUAUAGCGACUUUGAAUCAUGCCGUGUUACUUUAUCUUGCAUUGAGGAGCCUCGUAAGCACACUCUUCAUUCUUGGCCUUGCUUCGGGUGAUACACUAACACAAGCAAGAGCAAUUUUCAGGACCGCAAGCAUCUGGUUUCGGACAGCAGUUGAUGUUCUGCUGAUACUGUAAUCAAGAAUGUGAUCCCUUUUAUCUUGCUGCGCUGAGUUACUCAAGACCCACUUGGCCAACUCAAUCCCCUCACUAACUGCUGGCUUUCCCGUCAGCAACUCCAGCAGAACGACCCCGAAGCUGUAGAUAUUCCCGGCCAUUGUUACAACCAUAGUGUAUGCAUACUCUGCCACCACAGAACAGAGACAAAUAUUCAGACAAAAUUACUUCCAAAUCCAGCAAGUUACUUAAAUAAGCGGUAUACUGACAAGUCGGGGAUUACUCUGAGAAACAAUAUUAUGUUACUGCAAGGUGAAAAAAUCACAGAACUGCUUACCUGGAGGAAUGUAGCCAACAGAACCAGCAAUAGUAGAAAGGCUUCCGGUGCUCUUUGAAGGAUCGAUCACCUUCAAGAGCUCAGCAUCUGCAAUCAAAGGCUCCUUGAGGGACUUGAGCAAAAUGCUUUUGCUUGACAAGUCAAGGAGGAGUAUUGGACUUGGAGUGCACCCAUGAAGAAAAGAAAGACCCUGCGCUACUCCAACUGCAAUACUAUACCGGCUCCCCCAAUCCAUGUCAUCGCCCGAGAUACCACGAAGAGCAUCAAAAAGGGUUCCUUUUGGAGCAAAUUCAUAGAACAGAUAAGCACUGUCACCAGUCAAGACAUAGGCCAGAGGAUUCAUGACAUUGGAAUUGCUUAGUUUCCCGAAGACCUCUAAAUCUCGGGCGAACCUAUCGUGGCUGCCCAGUUGGAAUAUCUUGUCACUCCAGUUGAGCUUCUUCACAAAGUAGCUUGCUCCAGACGGCAUGAUGGCUUUGUAGUAAGUUGAAAACCUAGUCUUCAGCACAACGUUUGACUGGUCGGAAACUACUUCCAUCGCUCUAGUGAAAUCGAUGUUUGAUCUAUGAAUACCAUUUGCAGUUAAUAGAUUGCCCUGGAGGACCUCAGGAACAGCAAGUUCUUCCUCUGUUUGCACUUGUUCAUCAUUAACCCUGUAAUUUUGCCGUGAUAUGCGGCAACAAUGGUGAUCGCUCCAAAAGCAACCACAGCUGCUGCUACAACGGCAAGAACAAUUGUCGCUGCAUAUGAUUUUUUCUUCUUCUCCAAUUGGGGUGGAGUGUUUAUUGUUCUGUUAUGCAAAUCCUUGUUCCCAUUUGUGUCGACCAUGACCCAAGAAGAGAACGUCGGAAUUUCUCCAGAGAGCUCAUUGUUAGAAAGAGACAACUGUGUCAAGGUUCCCAAUUUAGUCAAAAAAUCAGGUAUCUUACCUGAGAAUUUGUUAUUUGAGAGAUCCAGAAUUUCUAAUACACUGAGACUCGAAAGAGUUUCCGGAAUAGGUCCCUGAAAAUGAUUGCUGCUGAGAUUUAAAGCAAUCUGUAAAUUCGUCGGCAUUCUUGGAAUGUCACCACUUAAUUGAUUUUCUCCAAGUUGGAGUUCCAUCAGAGAAUCCAUGGAGGCAAUACCGACGGGAAUGAAACCGCUGAGCUUGUUACCUUGUAAGUUCAUGUUAAUAAGACUCCGCAUGUUUGAAACUGAAGGUGGUAUCGAGCCGUUGAUAGAAUUCCAGCUGAUAUUCAGAACGGACAACUUGGGUAGUCGAGUAAAUUCAAUUGGAAUUUCCCCACUCAAAUUGUUCGAUUGAAGUUUCAAGACCUCAAGACUGCUAAGGUGACCCAACUUUGCCGGCAAAGCCCCAGACAGUUGAUUCUGAGCCAAAUUCAGCAGCGCCAAUUUCCGGCAAUCACCCAAUUCAGGAGGAAUUGAUCCAGUCAAGUUAUUGUUUUCCAUCUCCAAGUAGGUCAACUUGUCAUGUGUUGCAAUUGCUGCAGAAGGUAUCUUCCCAUCAAGCGAAUUGCUUCCCAGUCUCAACCUCACCAAGCUCGGAGAUAGAGUUUCAGGUACCGGUCCAUCUAAUCUAUUAUUCGACAAAUCCACAGUCUGCAGAUUCAUUGCCGACAAGAGGUCCGAUGGAAUCGACCCAUUCAAUUUAUUAUAACUGAGAUCCAAGUUUUUCAAAUGCUCCGUAAUGCCACCAGGAAUCGUCUCAUUGAAAUCGUUAGAAUUUGCUGCAAAUCUCCAAAGGCUUGUGAUAUUGGAAAUGCUUUGUGGGAUUCCGCCGGAAAAGUUAUUGGCCGAAAGAAUCAAAACCUCCAACUUGGAGAGCUCUCCGAUCCGAGCAGGAAUAAUCCCGGUAAGCCGAUUUCCGCUAAGAUCAAUGAGAGUCAAAUUCUUAUAUCCCACAAGUUCAGCAGGGAUAGGACCAUCAAACGUAUUCACAGAAAGCUCAAGCUCCUCCAAAACCUUGGACUUUCCGAGACGGGUUGGAACAUGCCCAGCAAAAUGGUUGAAGGUAAGGUUCAAGCUUCUGAGCUUGACCAACCCGUCCAACUUGGAGCCAAUGCUUCCACUCAAGUUAUUCCGAGCAAAGUCCAGAGCUUCCAAACCCAAAAACCCAACAAAAUCGGGCAGAGGACCCACCAAAUUAUUCAGACUAAAAUUGAGCAGCUUUAACUCACCUAGCUUUCCACAAGCUGAGAUAAACCCAGGCGGAAUUGUGGUCAGACGGUUGCUGGACACAUCAAGAACCUGCAGAGACUCAAUCCGACAAACGAGCGGCAGAAAGUCCGAGGAAGAUAGAGAAUGCCCGGACAACGAAAUCCGGAUAACUGAUGAAUUGGUCGGGGAAUUGCACCCGACUCCCUUCCACGAACAUGGGUUUGGUUCUUUGUUGACGUCCCAUGGAACAGCACCACCAGCAGAAGCGUUGAGGCUGUUGGAGAGAUCUAUCAUUGUGGUUUGUUGGUUUGAGGAUAAUGCAGAGAACACCACAGGAACAGGAAGGUAGCAGAACAAAGACAAGAAGAAAUGGAAAUUGAAAUACAGGACAAGUGAGGUGGUUUGGCGGCCAUAGCUGCUCAUUUUCCGGCUACAAAGAUGGCGUGAGGGAGAUUUGUAGUAUGUAUACUAUAGUUUAUGUGAUUUUUCAGGUGGAAGGAGGAGAGAGAGAGAGGAGAGAGAGAGGAUCAGAGGUAGAUGUCUGUGUGUUGGGUUAUGGAAUGUUUGGGGGAACGGGAAAGUUCGUGGGAGCAGGGAACAAAGUGAAGGAAGAGAAAAAUGCCGGGCGUGUUGGUUGGGAUAGGGGAGCGGAGUUGACUUGGACUAUUGACCAAUGGGUCUGUUUCUUGCGAAGACUUCACACGGAGAGUUAAAAAAUGAGUGGUCUCUGCAGUGUGGAGUGUGGAAUUAAACUUCCACCAAGCGAUUUUCGAGCAGGGGCUUCUUGUUAUUGGUACCGUAGUCGGUAAAUUUAAAUUACGAAAUUAGUACGGAAAAUCACGUACGUAUAUUACUGGCCAACUUUGCAAAAUUGAUAUUUUAUAAACGUGGCUAUUUUUUUUAGGUAUGUGAUAUCCAUACAUCCUAUUUUACUUUUCACACAUUUUUUAAUUUUCGAUCGUCGGAUCGGAUGAAUUGAAGAAAAUCAACGGACAGAAAUUAUUAAGGGGCGUGUACAUAACACACCCCUUUUUUUAAGAGAGCUUUCAUGAAAAAGGUUUUUCUUUUUUUUUUUUGUUUUUUGUCAAACGAUAGAUUUUGUUAGAUUAAAUGUUAGAUUAGCCACCGACGAGGUUCGAAUCCACGCUGUUAUGUAAGGGCUCAAUUCCUUUCCACUACUAUGGUAAAGGGUCACUUGCUUUAUGAAAAGGAUUUGGAUUAAGUUUAUUUUAACAAAAAACCAUGCUAUAACUUUAUUUAAUGAAAAAAAAAAACUUAAAUUUUAAUGAAAAUGACACAAUUUUGAUAUAAAUUAAAAAAAAAAUAACAUAACCCAUCCAUCACAAACAUUGUUUAUGAAAUUGAACAAUACUAUAUUGUUUAUGAAACUUAAUGGUACUACACUAUUUAUGAAACUGAACGGUACUAUAUUAUUUAUGAAAUUGAACAUGAUUAUACUAUUUAUUGGUCCAAAUUCAUAAAUAGUGCCUAGUUCUUGGUUCAUUUUCAUAAAUAGUGCCUAUUUAUUGGGUCCAGUUUCAUAAAUAGUGUAUAGUAAUUUGUAUAGUUUCAUAACCAGUGUCUCACUCUUGGUCCAGUUUCAUAACUAGUGCCUAGUUCUUGGUCCACUUUCAUAUAUAAUGCCUAGUUCUUCGUCAUUUUUCAUAAAUAGUGUCUAGUUCUUGAUCCAAUUUCAUAUAUAGUGUAUAGAUACUCAGUCGUUCCUCCCUUCUUUUUCACGUUCUCUUCAUGAGAUACCCAAAUCAAACACAACCCUUGCUACGAAGCUAUAGAGCUUUGUAAUCACAUAAAAAUGUUGGAGUGGUGAAAAAUUUCUUAAGAAAGUUGGAGAACACCCAGCGGCGGUGAACAGGAAAUUCCAUAAUAACAAAAAAAUUACUAAAAAAAACACACAAAAAAAAAAAAAAACACAAAACAAAAUUGAAGUGGGUGAAAACCCUGAAAACCCCAAUGUUUGAAGAAAUUGAUGUUAAGUACUUGGGAGUGCUCAUUGAGUUGCACGCGCGCCAAUAGGGGGUUUUUUUUUCUUGUGUCUUUAUUAUUAAAUAAAGUUAUAGGAUAGCUUUUGGUUAAAAUUUAAAAUUUUGGAGUCAUUUUCAUUAGUUUUCAUUUUUACUAAAGACUUACUUUUAGCUAUGUCCUCUGAAACUCGAAUUUAAUCCAAUUUUGUUCAUUGCAACUCAAAAGUCGCCACUUUACCUCUAAAACUCAAAGUUCACUUCACUUUGCUCCAUGGAAUUCGAUUUUGAUCGCAUUUCCCCCCUGAAACUUGAAAAUCUUCUCUAUAAAACUCAAAAUUAUCUCCACGUUGCCUUAGAUUUGUUAAUCUCUUAUGUGAUUUUGAUUUGGGUGCACCAGGAAAAUAAAUUUAUUUUUUAGUUUUCAUCUCUUUAAUUUCUUUUAAACUUAAUAUUUUCUGAGUCUAGAAUGUUAACACAUAAUAGAGAUUUAUAAUCAAAUUUAUUGCUCAUGUGGCAUAAUCUUAUUGGUUGUUGGAUCCCACAUAUGUUUUAGGAUGUGACAUAUAAGUUUUAGGAAGAAGAGAGUCCACAAGUCAAAGUGGAACGAAUUUUGAGUUUUAGGAAGUAAAGUGGUGAUUUCUGAGUUACAGGAGCCAGGAGGCAAAGUGAGAGCAAAAUAGAGUUCUACAUAGUGUAGCUAAAAAUAAGCAUUUUUGAAUUUAAUAUUCAAAAAUGUUAUUUUUACCAUAUAUUUGUACCAUUAUUUGUAUCAUCUUUCUAAAAGAGAUGAAAUUUUAUUUGUAUUAUUGAAAAUUAUUUAAACGUGUAUUAAAAAUAGGCUUACUUCUCACACACCUCUUGAUAAUUUAUGUCCAUUGAUCUUCUUCAAUUCAUCUGAUCCAACGACUGAAAAUUAAAAAGGUGUGUGAGAAGUAAAAUGGGGUGUGUGGAUAUCACACCCCUAAAAUAAAAAGUAUGUAUGUACUUGUAGAACACAUGUAUCAUAUAUUAGAGCUUAAAAACAAGUGCAAUCUUUAAGAUGUACAAAAAUUGUACCAUAUGCAUAUUACAUGCAAAUUUACUAACUAUAAACUCAAAAUACAUACAGGAAGAGACUCUUGCAUCCAGGUCCCCAAAAUGGGUCGUGUGAGAUCCAAAUGCCAAAGAGAGGUCCACCAAAAUGGGUCGGGUGAGAUCCAAACGCCAACGAGAGUUUUCCUUGUAUUUUUCUUAAGUGUUUAUGUAACGUGACACGGGAACUGAUACUUAAAAGGAUUCCUCAAUUCAUAUGGAAAGAGAUCCUCUCCGGAUCUCUCCCUUCAAAGCCACCAAAUUAAGUGAUCUAGACUUUUGAAAAUUAAUCCAACGGCUAAAAACAGAGAAGUUGGUAAAAAAAAAUUUAUAAGCUAUAAUAGUUUUUAACCAUUGAAUCAAAUUAAAAAAAGCCGGAUCAUUUGAUAUGGAGGCUUUAGAAAAAGAGAUCCAGAGAGGAUAUCUUUCCAAUACAUACGGCCCUAUAAAAGUUUCUAUCGUGUGGAGCCAUGCUUUACUUGAAAACUAGGUUGUUCAAAAACGCGUAAAUGGAGAAAGAAGAAGUUAAAAAUAUAGAUGAGAAUGGGAAGGUGCAGAUUGAUUCCACUAAAAAUCGUUUGUUACUGGAAAAUGUGAUUCCCUUGAAGUCAUGAAGGUUUUAAUUCGAUUGGUUAACAUAGUCGUCUUGACCUUGGCGGUCAUGUCGUGAAUGAUCGGCUGCCCUUUUUCUGGGCCCGCCAUUGACUUUUGUGCUUUGAACCGGACCUGCAUUGACUGACCAGUUGUUGUGUUUGAUGUGUUGGUUGUUUUACCUUCCUUGGAUCAAACUGGCCACCAUUUGACGUUCUUUCAAAGCCUUAAUAAUUGGAUCACUAGUUCAAUUUUCCGUUAUUUCAAUAAAUAAUUGGAUCACUAGUUCUUGAACUUGUUUGAGAUAAAACUUAAAUUUUGGGCUAAAAAGGGGGUUAGCCCAAAAGAAGGUCUAGAAGGAGGAAAAGUCCAAGGCCUAGCCGAAGCCUAGAAGAAAGAAGGAGCCUUUUUCUUGACUAAGUGCAGAUCACUCAAACCACCUGCUCACCUACCUAGAGGUUAAGUGAUGUAGACCAGCCAGCUAAUCAGCUCAAAAGUACUUUACAAUGGCAGUACAAGUAAAAAGCUGAUGAGUCAUUACCCUUCAGAUGCAUUCGGGCAAAAUAAAUACUGCAGGCAGCCAAGCCAAAUCGUCUAUAAAAGGAGGAAGAAAAAUCAGGGACAAGGACACUCAAUCAAACAAACAAAUACAAGCACAAACUCUGCUCAAGCCAGAUUUGCCUUCACGAAGCUGUAGUCAGCCCUCAAGCCUUCAUCCCUUUAGGGAUCAACCUUCACCAGAAAGCCUUUGUAAAAGCUCUGCUACCCUAUCUAAAUCUUGUUGUAGUAUCGAUUACCUCUUGUAAACUCAUCUCCCAAUCUCCCUUUCUAGCAUUCAAAGCCUUUGUAAAUCACAAAGAGAGGAAGUUGCAAGACGAUCAGUCUUGCCCGACAAGGUGAAAUCUUGCCCGACCUCCUUUGUUUUUGUCUUUCAUUCAUAAAUCUAGUAAUAUGAUGUAUAUUUCCAGCUGCAUCCAAGUUAUUUCUAGCUAGUUUAUGAUUAAAAGACUUCUAAGUUCUAACCAUUCGGGCAUACAAGAUUUAUCAAUUAAAAGUCCUUGAUCUCAAGGCAUAAAAAGAACCCUAUGUGGACUUAACCCAUCCACGACAGUCCUUGAUAACAAGAAGUCCGAAGUUACUUGGGGUGCAAAUAAUUAGCCUAUUUCUUAGUUUUACUUCUGUUAUAUCAUGAUUGCUACAGAACGCUUGAGUAUAGAAUUAAUUCUGAUGAGAAGCCUUAUAGCCUAUAUCUAAGGUUCCACAAAGGCACCUAUCUGAGUCCGUUCUGCUCUGCGGGCUCGAGCGAUUAAGGUAUAACGGUUGUGAUACUUCUGCAACAAUGAAACAACCAAUAUAUGUUUGAGUACUUAAUUAGUUUUGAUUGGAAGUCUCAAUGCCUACACCUAAGGCCCCACAAAGGCACCUUUCAUUACUAAAUUCGGGCAUAUUUAAUCAAACUGAACAUUUGUUUUACAUCUGUCAUGCUAAAGAUGACAGUGCCUGAACACCUAAAUGUUAAUUUUGAUUGUGAGCCUCAAGGCCUACACCUAAGGCCCCAUAAAGGCACCUUUCAGGAUUAACUCUGUCCUUCUCUUAUAGCCCGCCAAUAAGCAGAAGCCCGAUAGACAAUAUCAACUGGCGCCAAACCUCUCGGGGAGCUGUGUGCUCGUUGGCCAAGAAAAGUCCCCACUGGAUAUUCCUCAAGACGAACAGAACUAUUAUCAAAUUAUUGUUUUGGUGCCUUGAUUACUGACGGAAAUUACAUCAGUGUUUGCAAAUAUAGCUAUGGUUGUAAAGCCGAACCUAAAAACAUUGUGCUCAAGUUUGGCUUGUUUAAUUAUUUCCGAGCUCAAGCUAGGUUUGGCUUGGUUCUUACAUGAGAGCACAAUAUUUGUAGGUUCGGAAAUUAUUAAACAAGCCAAACUUGCUACUAGCUCUCUUGUAAGAAGGGGAGGCUGCAAAUGAGAAUCAGUCUUUGCAAUCCUGUUGCUAGCUAGCAUUUUUGAAGGUCCUUGUUGGUAAGAGCGCAAAAAUUGUUUUGUUCUUACAUUUCUUUGCAUUGAGUGAUGUAUAUGUCAGCAAUUAUUUUGUUCACACAUUCCUUGUAGUAUAGGUUACUUAAGUAGUUCUUUUCGGGUUUGCUUAAAUCAUAGAUAUAGAUAGUUGUACAUGUAUACACAUGUCAUAUACAGGGCAGGCCUAGGCCCAGUGCGGGCAAGGCGACCGUCCAGGGCCCAAAAAAAUUAUGGGCACCAAAAUUAUUAGUGUGACAUAUUUAUAUACAUUUUCAUACGAGUAUAAAUUUAUUAAAUUUGGUUUAAUGACAAAGAAAUUUAACUAGAAUCGGUGAUUUUGUUGUUUGAAAUUAACGAGGUGGUCUUGGGUUCAAAACAACAUGUGUGCUUAUUUAAGUUUCAAUUUUUACAAAUUUCUUUUCAUAACAAUAUAAAUUUAUAAAAUUUAGCUAAAUGAUUAGAAGUUUAAUUAGAAGCAAUGGUUUUUGUAUUUAAAAUUAACAAGAGGUUCUAAGUUCGAAAUGCUAUGUGCAUGUUUAUUUUUUUCAAUAUUUACAAAUUUUUGUUUGGUUGCUAAUUUAUUUUUAAUUACUAGCUAGUAACUAUGUAGGUUGCUAUUUUGAAAUAGUCGUUCCAAUUCAAGUCUAAUCUACAACAAAGGGUAAAGCGUAUACUAAAUUUUUAGACCAAAUUUGCAAAUCAUAUAACGUGUCAUCAAAAGGUUUAAUUUGGUGCCCAGUCAUUACUUAUACAUAUCUUUAAAGACUAGAAAAUAUCAUUAUUUUUUUAGUCUUAUAUUGAUGAGGCUAUAACUUUAUUUAAUGAAAAAAAAAACUUAAAUUUUAAUGAAAAUGACACAAUUUUGAUAUAAAAAAAAAAAAAAAAAACCUAACCCAUCCAUCACAAAUACUAUUUAUGAAAUUGAACAGUACUAUAUUGUUUAUGAAACUUAAUGGUACUAUAUUGUUUGUACCAUACUUGACCAAUCCCGAAACUACUGAGCACCGGUCAACGUUAUACCGUCAAGGACCCAUAAGAGUUGCCCUCCAACCAGGAGGCCAAUCACAACGCGACACGUGUUGACAUCAGAAGCCAAUCAUAGCGCGACACGUGUCAACAUCAGAAGCCAAUCACAACAUGACACGUGUCAAUGUCAGAAUGAAACUAGAAACUCUCUUCUAUAAAUAGAGAUCAUUCUCUCACAAUAUUUCCGAAUGUCAUUUGUACUAAAUCAUUCACUUGUACUCACUAAAGGAGAGCUUGAACCUAUGUACUUGUGCAAAACCUUCACAAUUAAUGAGAAUUCCUCUACUCCGUGGACAUAGCCAAUUUGGGUGAACCACGUACAUCUUGUAUUUGCUUCCCUGUCUCCAUCCAUUUAGAUACUUAUCCACACUAGUGACUGAAGCAAUCUAGCGAAGGUUACAAACUUGACACUUUCUGUUGUACCAAAGUCCCCACUGAUUUUGUGCAUCAACAUUUGGUGCCGUCUGUGGGAACGACACUUAUUCUCACUCUCUUCCGCUUUGCCAAGUUGGUUUCCACCACUCAUACAUUCUCUUCUGACCAGGCAUCCCUCUCCAACAUGGGGAGCGAAGGAAGCCACAACACACAGAAUGACACCCCUCUUGCACCUAGUGCGAAGCAACGAAAGAAUGAAGGAAAGAGGGUUGCUCUUCAAGCUAAAGUUGAUGAGCUAGAAGCUCAGAACAACAAGAUAGCAAUGAAAAAUGAGGUCCUCCAGGAACAGUACGAGAAGCUCUUUGAGACGCUCCACGAAACUAGGCGUACUCAAACACGCGAGCUCGUUGCCCCUGUGGACAUCAAUCAUCAUCUGGGUGCCCCCCAACACGGAGGGUCACCUCCUUUCGACAUGGAUAUCCCUGAUGAGGAGCGAGCUAAUCAUCAAAACAUUGAUCAACAUGAGACUUAUCUCAACCCAGAUGCUUCGACCCGAAGUAGAAGAAGUGGAGGAAGACACCUCCUUGCAGAAGGGUUGGAAAGAUCGAAAGUCGAGAGAAUCCCCUCCAUAUAUGCCCAAAGAUCAAUGACCCAAUGGUUUCUAAAAGACCCGGUCCCCUCCAACGACCCAGGCUAGCUGUCAAUCUGGGGAAGAAACUACAGGUCCCAGAGGAACAUGAAAGUACGGGGGACUCUGAGGUAUUCUGACAGACUCGCCUUAAAAGUCAGUACGGUGAGUCCAAGAAAAAACCACACGCCCUUGCUCAAACUUUCCUACUUCCAAGAGACGAUGGAGACUUAUGAAAGAAAAUUCCAGUGGUACAUGACUCCACUCAGGACUCUCUUGUCCUACAGCUCAUUGAGGAAGUAAACAAGUUGAAGGCCGAAUGUUAGGCCGAGAUACCUGACUGGAACCAACCCAAGCUUGGCCCUCUCACAAGAAGGAUCCUCGACACCCCAUUCAAGCGAAGACAAAACAAAAGCUUGGUUUACAACUCUAUACUGGAAUGAAGGAUCCAAUUGAACACCUUAACCUCUUUGAGUCCACCAUGGCAUAUCGGAUGAACACCGACGAAGAACGAUGUCUUCUCUUCCCCUCCACCCUCUCUGGCGGAGCUCUAAACUGGUAUUGCCGUCUUCCACCUGAGACAGUAGACUCAUUUAAGGAACUGAGGAAACUGUUUGUCUCUCAACAUAUCUUUCAGACCGAUCGCUUACAUUCUAUAGAUGACUUGUACACUAUUUGCCAGAAGCCGGACGAGUCACUACGAGAGUAUGCCGGUCACUUCAGCCAUGAGUAUUCUCGUUGCGCUGAGGUAGAUGACAAGACCGCCCUCAAGGCCUUCACGGCAGGCCUACGUGAUUGUUUCUUCAAGUACAUGAUCAAUGCCAGCACUUGGAAGACUUACUCUGAGGUGAUAACACAAGCUUACAACCACGCCUCUGCUGAAGCAAGGACAUACCAAGGGAACCCCCAUAUGGUUAACCCCUAUCAACACGUGGUAAGUGGAAGUCAAGUUCUGCCAAGUGAGGAGAUCUUGGCCAUUCAGACACCCAUUGCAUCAUCUCCUGCCUCAUUUAGUUACUUUUUAAGUCACUAAACGUAUCUGUCUCUUGGUAAGAGGAAGGAUUUUUACUCUCAGCAAACCCAUUACAACAAGAGGGAUAAAAGUUCGUAUCAAGACAACCAGGGGUGAACGUAUCGUCGACUAUUAUGACUAUGGGGCCAGGCCUCACUCUUUCAAAGUGGAUGACCAGGUACUGAAGGAAAUGCUAUUAUAAGAAGGUAUACACAUUACAAAUGUUUUGACUCUCAACCGCUUGAGAUCUUUUGUCACACAAACCAUUCGGAAAAUUUUUAAAGAAGAGGGAAUUCAGACAACUUCUUUUGAGUCUUUUGCGUUCCUAGCACUGGAACACUUGGUCUACGCUGACCUACCCUUCUACUCCAACUUAGAGCUUCAACAUGCGUACUUUGACACAAAGUAUAUGACACUAAGUGUUACAACCAACAUGGUUCACAUAUCAAAAGCAUGGAUCCCUUCAUGCAUAGCAAAACAUUCAUAAGCAUCACUCAUAUUAAUCAACAUAAACAUCAUGCAUUCCAACACAUUCAUACAUAAACAUCAUACAUUCCAACACAUUCAUCCAUAAACAUCAUACAUUCCAACACAUCCAUACAUAAGCCAACUGUGCUUCAAAAGGGUUCAACAUACUUUGUGUCUUUGACACUUGCUACAAUGUUCCUCGACACCUUGCCCUUAUUCUCACCAACUAGGUGAUGGAAUGUGAAGAAGGAACUCAUCUUCAUGCCACCAACCAGGUGAUGAAAUGUACAACCCGUACUCUCUUUCAUGCGACCAACCAGGUGAUGAAAUGUACAACCCGUACUCUAAUAUCAUUUGGCAACUUGCCACUCAUGCCACCAACCAGGUGAAGAAGGAACCCAUCUUCGUGCCACCAACCAAGUGAUGAAAUGUACAACCCGUACUCUAAUAUCGUUUGGCAACUUGCACCUCAUGCCACCAACCAGGUGAAGAAGGAACUCAUAUUCAUGCCACCAACCAAGUGAUGAAAUGUACAACAUGUACUCUAAUAUCAUUUGGCAACUUGCCACUCAUGCCACCAACCAGGUGAAGAAAGAACUCAUCUUCGUGCCACCAACCAGGUGAUAAAAUGUACAACCUGUACUCUCCUUCAUACCACCAACCAGGUGAAGAAGGAACUCAUCUUCGUGCCACCAACCAGGUGAUAAAAUGUACAACCCGUACUCUCAUUCAUGCCAUUAACCAGGUGAUGAAAUGUAUAAUCCAUACUUUAAUAUCAUUUGGCAACUUGCCACUCAUGCCACCAACCAGGUGAAUAAGGAAAUCAUCUUUGUGCCACCAAUCAUGUGAUGAAAGCAACUCACCAUUCAUUCCACCAAACAGAAGACGAGUGGUACAACUUGUACAUGUGAACUCCUAGCAUUCACAAAUAAUAAAAAACCCUCAUGUUUUACAACUCAACUAGGGGAGCACUUAUGCCCAACAAGAGUUAUAGUCACUAACAAAGUCUAUUGCAAGCCAACAACAACUUCAGUGCAUGACAUACGAAGAUCAAGCUAUUCAGCCCUCUUGCAUUUGCUUCAGACAUUUCUCCUUUGUAAUAAUGCAAACAUUACAAGGUGUGGCUUGCAUCAGAAUCUUUUGCUCAACAGUGUGGAAGCAAAAUUUGUAUAUGUUGUCAUCAAAGGAGUUCAACCACAAUUCUCAAAAGCUUCACACACUCUUAAUCAAGACAGUGUGAAGCAAAACCAAUCUAUGGUGCCAACAAAAGCUUCAUCAAUGGAGGGCAACCACAAUUCUCAAAAGCUUCACACACUCUUGAUCAAGACAGUGUGAAGCAAAACCAAUUUAUGGUGCCAAUAAGAGCUUCAUCAAUGGAAGGCAACCACAAUUCUCAAAAGCUUCACACACUUUUGAUCAAGACAGUGUGAAGCAAAACCAAUUUAUGGUGCCAACAAAAGCUUCAUCAAUGGAGGGCAACUACAAUUCUCAAACCUUCGAAGCAAAUUCAAGACUGUUCGAAGCAAAUUCAAUUUAUAUGGUUCAUCCAAACCUUCGACUACUACAAGGUGUGGCUUGCAUCAUAAUCUUUUGCUCAACAGUGUGGAAGCAAAAUUUGUAUAUGUUGUCUCUCCCACAUUUUCAAAUUUCUAUUUCCCAAAAAAAAAAAAAAAAGGGAAAUCCAACAAAAGCUUCAUCAAUGGAGGACAUCUACAAAUUCUCAAAAGCUUCACACUAUCUUGAUCAAGAUAGUGUGAAGCAAAAUCAAUUCAUGGUACCCAACAAAAGCUUUAACUCCAAAGCUUCACCUACAAAACUUUAACUCCAAAGCUUCACCUACAAAAGCUUCAACUCCAAAGCUUCACCUACAAAGCUUCAACUCCAAAGCUUCACCUACAAAAGCUUCACCCACAAAAGCUUUAACACAAAAGCUUCACCCACAAAAGUUUCACCUACAAAAGCUUGACCCACAAAAACUUGACCCACAAAAGCUUGACCUACAAAAGCUUCACCCACAAAAGCUUCAACACAAAAGCUUUACCAACAAAAGCUUCAUCAAUGGAGGACAACUACAAAUUCUCAAAAGCUUCACACUAUCUUGAUCAAGAUAGUGUGAUGCAAAAUCAAUUCAUGGUACCCAACAAAAGCUUCAACUCCAAAGCUUCACCUACAAAGCUUCAACUCCAAAGCUUCACCUACAAAAGCUUCAACACAAAAGCUUCACCCGCAAAAGCUUCACCCACAAAAGCUUCAACAUAAAAGCUUCACCCAUAAAAGCUUCAACUACAAAAGCUUGACCCACAAAAGCUUCACUUACAAAAGAACCUACAAAAGUUUGACCCACAAAAGCUUAACCCAUUUAGAAAGGAAAUGCCUCAUUCAAAUAUAUAUAUAUAUAUAUAUAUAUAUUUUUUUUUUUUUUUCGGAAAUUUGAAAAUUCAAAAAUUCGGAAAUUUAAAAAUUCGAAAAUUCGAAGAAAAAAAAAUCCUCUUCUUUGGGCCUAACAACUUUCAUAACAAAUAUAUAUGAAGAAGGAGUUUUGGGCUACCACUUAGAUAGGAAAUGCCUUAUUCGUCAACUCCCUCGACCGGAGACUUGGGGGACUCCUACCAUAUGCUACUGCACCUUGAUACUCAGAAGUCUCACGACCACUCAGUGGCUUGGAUUUUUCAAGUCUCCAAACUAGAAGUUUUCCUCACUCGAGAAAUUAAGGAAGCACUACUUCAACCUACAUGCUUCACCCACAAAGCUUCAACAUACAAGCUUCAACAAAAGGAAAAAUUCAAAGAACUUAGUGAAGAAGGCCUUGGUGUAUUUAACACAAUACGUUGAAAUGAAGCAAAGCUUGUUUAUUGAUAUCUCCGAUAAGUUACAAAUAUGUACAUAUACAUGAAUCAAAAUAAACAAACAAGAGGGAGCCUUCACAAAGGUUGCUCAAGAGAAGUCUCAGCAAUUGGCAGAGCCCCAGAAAGAGGAGGCACCAGAAGGUGAUUAUUCGGAGCCUCAGUACUAGGCAGAACUCUAGAAGGAGGAGGCACCGAAGGUUGAUCAUUUGGAGCUUCAUUACGCGGUACAACCCUAGAAGACGAAGGCAAUAAAUGCCUUUGAAACAAACCCACAAACCUCUGAUGAUCAAGUAAAAUCUGACCAUCAGAUUCCUGCAGCUGGUCGAGCUUCCUCUUCAUGUUUGUAGCAUAGUCAUGUACGAGCCUGUGCAACUGUUUAUUCUCAUGCUUGAGCCUUCUGAUCUCCUGUUUUAGACUUAUCACUUUAGCCGCCAAUAAUUCAACUUGGCGGGUUUGAGCAAAUAAACGUUGGGCCAUAUUAAACAUAGAACCUGCACACUGAACACUGAGAGCCAGAGAAUCCUUAACAGCCAACUCAUCAGACCGUUUGGAAAGUAGUCUGUUAUCUUUGUGAGUGAGAAGGUUCCUGGCCACCAUCGCAGCGAUCAUAUCAUUCUUCAUCACAAAGUCCCCAACGGUAAGAGAACCAGUAGGGGAUAAGAAGGAUGGGCACCAUAUGUUGUCUUGAGAAGGCACGGCUGCCUCUUUACCAAAGUUCAAGUCAAAACGACAGUCGGAUGAGCCAGACAUUCUCAGAAAUGAUGAAGGAGAAAUGAGGUGCAAUAAAUCUUUGAAGUAAGGGGAAAAUUCCUACAAGAAAUAACUCUUUGAAUGUACUUCUUGCACACAAUUGGUGCCCUAAUAAAAGAAAGGGCAACAUGGCCGUUGGUUCAAAAAUCGAGGAGGCACCACUCUCCGGAUUCUGAAAAGGCACAAUUUUCCACACGCAACAUCAGCUCAUCGGGUACCACAGAUAACUUUGCCAAAGAUCUCUGACAAAGUUUAGACACAUAAAUUUUGAAGGUCCAGCUACCCUACUAUUACCCACAAGGGUCAAGGAACAGCAUCACUGCUUGAUAACUAGAAAGUCCUAAUGUGUGUCAACCUCCGUGCUCCGUGGCAAGGCAGACUGGUAAAAAUGCCAAACCUUUACUCACAUUCGAGAAAACACUCCCAACAAGAUUGCUUGCUCAAAAAUCAAAAAGGCACAUCUCUCCGAAUCUCGAGAGCCAAACUCCCAACAGGAUUACGUGCUUAAAAAUCGAAGAGGCACCGCCCUCUGAAUCUCAAGAGCUAGAUUCCCAACAGGAUUACUUUCUUAAGAAUCGAAAAGACACUGCUCGAGUCAGACUCCCAACAGGAUUGCUUUCUCAAAAGUCGAAGAGGCACUGCUCUCCGAAUCUUAAGAGCCAGACUUCCAACAGGAUUAUGUGCUCAAAAAUUGAAGAGGUACCGCCCUCUGAAUCUCGAGAGCCAGACUCCCAACAUGAUUACUUUCUAAAAAAUCGAAGAGACAAUGCUCUCCGAAUCUUAAGAGUCAGACUCCCAACAUGAUUGCUUUCUCAAAAAUAGAAGAGGCAUCGUUCUCUGAAUCUCGAGAGCCAGAUCCUUGACAGGAUUGCUUGUUCGAAAACUGAAGAGGCACCUCUCUCCAAACUUCGAGAGCCAGAUUUCCUUGGAUAAAGCUUGUCUGCAAUCUUCACACGCAACAUCAGCUUUCCAGAUACCACAUACCACUUUUUCAAAGUGCUCUGACAAAGUUAAAACACGCGAAGCUUGCAGCUCCCACUACAUUGCUAUGACCAAGAAAGGUAAAGGAAUAACAUUACUACUUGUUGUUAGGGAUACUUCUAUCUAUGUUGACCUUCAUCCUCCACAACCAGGCAGACCUGCAAAUAAAAAAAAUGCUUAACUUUUCUUCACAUCAGAGAGGGCACUCUUAGCAGAGUCUCUCGAAAUACUCAGCUUCUUUUCCUCCCGAUAAUACCUCUGCAAACAAGCCACACCAGAGCAAGAGUAUCUCAUAUCAUUAGGGUUAAAAGCAAGAGUAUCCCAUAUCAUGCUUUUUCCUUAUCUUUUCCUUUGGCCUUAUUCUUACCUGCAAGACAAGAAGAAAAAGAGUAAUUAGUCAGCACUUGGAAUCCAGCUUCCAGUCAGGAACUGACUGCCUGUAACCCUUUGCCUAAUUACUUACCUGGCAUUUCUCUUGAGUACUCAUCUUCAACAUCUUAUGCUUCCAAAGAAGAUACCACAUCUGCCUGAGGAACAGAUAGGGCAAGUGAGAAGGAUACAAGGAAGCACGUGGAGACAAGCGUAACAGAACACGUGCCGAUACAUCCACUACUUUGUCAACAGCAAAAGUAUCCUAUAUCAUCAGGGUCGAACGUACUCUAGAUUUGAUGGACUUGUUUUGACCCUCAAAUUUUUGAGUCGGCCUUAUACUCUGGAGGAAACCAGAAAACCCUCCAGUCCAGUUCAAGAAUAAGCAUGUGGAAAGUUACUUCUUCAAAAGCAAAAGUAUCUUAUAUCAUCUCUUCUCCAUUUGCUUCCCUUUAUUCUUGUUGCUGUUUAUGACACAAGGAGAAUGAGAACAAUCAACCGGAAGCCGAAGUCGAACCUCUAAUCCAGGUUGCUUGCUUGGAAGUCCGAUUGCUUACCUUGUCUGUUACCUCAUUCGUCAUAUCUCCUAGAUCGGCGACUUGGGGGACUCCUACUAUAGGGUUUGUAUCGCACUUGACCAAGCCCGAAACUACAAGUAAGCUUCAAGUGAAAUUGAUACAUUACCUUGUGCAUCUUCAUCGGUUAAAGAUACCACCCCUGGAUGGUGAAAAAGUACUUCCAGAGAAGAUGCCACAUCUACAUAUGAGACAGAUAAGGCAAGUGAAAAUGAUGCCACACUUCGGUACUUAGAAGUUUCGUGAUUACUCAAUGGGCUGGAUCUUGCAAGUCCCCAACCGAGGAGCUUCCCUCACUCGGGAACUUAGGGGAGCACUGUUUGUACCAUACUUGACCAAUCCCGAAACUACUGAGCACCGGUCAACGUUAUACCGUCAGGGACCCAUAAGAGUUUCCCUCAAACCAGGAGCCAAUCAUAGCGCGACACGUGUCAACAUCAGAAGCCAAUCAUAGCGCGACACGUGUCAACAUCAGAAGCCAAUCACAACACGACACAUGUCAAUGUCAGAAUGAAACUGGAAACUCUCUUCUAUACAUAAAGAUCAUUAUCUCACAAUAUUUCCGAAUGUCAUUUGUACUAAAUCAUUCACUUGUUCUCACUAAAAGAGAGCUUGAACUUAUGUACUUGUGUAAACCCUUCACAAUUAAUAAGAAUUCCUCUACUCCGUGGACGUAGCCGAUCAGGGUGAACCAUGUACAUCUUGUGUUUGCUUCACUGUCUCCAUCCAUUUAUAUACUUAUCCACACUAGUGACUGAAGCAAUCUAGCGAAGGUCGCAAACUUGACACUUUCUGUUAUACCAAAGUCCCCACUGAUUUUGUGCAUCAACAUAUACUAUUUAUGAAACUGAACGGUACUAUAUUAUUUAUGAAAUUGAAUAGGAUUACACUAUUUAUUGAUCCAAAUUCAUAAAUAGUGCCUAGUUCUUGGUUCACUUUCAUAAAUAGUGCCUAGUUAUUGGGUCCAGUUUUAUAAAUAGUGUAUAGUAAUUGGUACAAUUUCAUAACUAGUGUCUCACUCUUUGUCCAGUUUCAUAUAUAGUGCCUAGUUCUUGGUCCACUAUCAUAUAUAGUGCCUAGUUCUUCAUCAUUUUUCAUAAAUAGUGUCUAGUUCUUGGUCCAAUUUCAUAUAUAGUGUAUAGUAAUUUGUACAGUUCCAUAUCUGACUUGGUCUAGUUUCAUAAAUAGUGUCUUUUUCUUGGUCCAGUUUCAUAAAUAGUCUAUUUCUUGGUCCAGUUUUUUGGUUCAGUUUUAAAAAUAAUGCCUUCUUUGAUUUUGAUGCAUCCUCUGCGCAACAACCACCUUCAAGAGAUACUCAGUUGUUCCUCCCUUCUUUUUCACGUUCUCUUCAUGAGAUACCCAAAUCAAACACAACCCUUGCUACGAAGCUACAUAGCUUUGUAAUCACAUAAAAAUGUUGGAGUGGGAGCGAACAAAAAUGUUGGAGUGGUGAAAAAUUUCUUGAGAAAGUUGGAGAUCACCCAGUGGCCGUGAACAGGAAAUUCCAUAAUAACAAAAAAAAUUACUAAAAAAAAAAUUGAAGUGGGUGAAAACCCUGAAAACCCCAAUGUUUGAAGAAAUUGAUGUUAAGUACCUGGGAGUGCUCAUUGAGUUGCACGCGCGCCAAUAAGGUUUUUUUUUUCUUGUGUCUUUAUUAUUAAAUAAAGUUAUAGGAUAGCUUUUGGUUAAAAUGUAAAGUUUUAGAGUUAUUUUCAUUAGUUUUCAUUUUUAUUAAAGACUUACUUUUAGCUAUGUCCUAUGAAACUCGAAUUUAAUCCAAUUUUGCUCAUUGCAGCUCAAAAGUCGCCACUUUACCUCUAAAACUCAAAGUUCACUUCACUUUGCUCCAUGGAAUUCGAUUUUGAUUGCAUUUUUCCCUUGAAACUUGAAAGUCUUCUCUAUAAAACUCAAAAUUCUCUCCACGUUGUCUUAGAUUUGUUAAUCUCUUAUGUGAUUUUGAUUUGGGUGCACCAUGCAAAUCAAUUUAUUUUUUAGUUUUCAUCUCUUUAAUUUCUUUUAAACUUAAUUUUUUCUGAGUCUAGAAUGUUAACACAUAAUAGAGAUUUAUAAUCAAAUUUAUUGCUCAUGUGGCAUAGUCUUAUUGGUUGUUGGAUCCCACAUAUGUUUUAGGAUGUGACAUAAACGUUUUAGGAAGAAGAGAGUCCACAAGUCAAAGUGGAACGAAUUUUGAGUUUUAAGAAGUAAAGUGGUGAUUUCUGAGUUACAGGAGUCAGGAGGCAAAGUGAGAGCAAAAUAGAGUUCUACAUAGUGUAGCUAAAAAUAAGCAUUUGUGAAUUUAAUAUUAAAAAAUGUUAUUCUUACCAUCUAUUUGUACUAUCAUUUGUAUUAUCUUUCUAAUAGAGAUGAAAAAUUAUUUGUAUUAUUGAAAAAUAUUUAAACGUGUAUUAAAAAUAGGGGUGUGCUAUCCACACACCCCAUUUUACUUCUCACACCCCUUGAUAAUUUCUGUCCAUUGAUCUUCUUCAAUUCAUCCGAUCCAACGGCUGAAAAUUAAAAAGGUAUUUGAGAAGUAAAAUGGGGUGUGUGGAUAUUACACCCCUAAAAAUAAAAAGUAUGUAUGUACGUGUAGAACACAUGUAUCAUAUAUUAGAGCUUAAAAACAAGUGCAAUCUUUAAGAUGUAAAAAAAAUUGUACCAUAUGCAUAUUACACGCGAAUUUACUAACUAUAAACUCAAAAUACAUACAAGAAUAGACUCUUGCAUCCAGGUCCACCAAAAUGGGUCGUGUGAGAUCCAAAUGCCAAAGAGAGGUCCACCAAAAUGGGUCGGGUGAGAUCCAAACACCAACGAAAGUUUUCCUUGUAUUUUUCUUAAGUGUAUAUGUAACGUGACACGGGAACUGAUACUUAAAAGGAUUCCUCAAUUCAUAUGGAAAAAGAUCCUCUUUGGAUCUCUCCCUCCAAAGCUACCGGAUUAAGUGAUCUAGGCUUUUGAAAUUUAAUCCAACGGCUAAAAACAGAGAAGUUAGUAAAAAAAUAAUUAAAAGCUAUAAUAGUUUUUAGCCGUUGGAUCAAAUUUCAAAAACCCGAUCAUUUGAUCUGAUGGUUUUAGAGAAAGAGAUCCGGAAAGGAUAUCUUUUCAAUUCAUAUGGCCCUAUAAAAGUUUCUAUCGUGUGGAGCCAUGCUUUACUAGAAAACUAGGUUGUUCAAAAACGCGUAAAUGGAGAAAGAAGAAGUUAAAAAUACAGAUGAGAAUGGAAAGGUUGAGGGAGCAGAUUGAUUCCACUAAAAAUCGUUUGUUACUGGAAAAUGUGAUUUCCUUGAAGUCAUGAAAGUUUUAUUUCGAUUGGUUGCUUUGAACCGGGCCUGCAUUGACUGACCAGUUGUUGUGUUUGAUGUGUUGGUUGUUUUACCUUCCUUGGAUCAAACUGGCCACCAUUUGACAUUCUUUCAAAACCUUAAUAAUUGGAUCACUAGUUCAAUUUUCCGUUCUUUCAAUAAAUAAUUGGACCACUACUUCUUGAACUAUUAUCAAAUUGUUGUUUUGGUCCCUUGAUUACUGACGGAAAUUACAUCAGUGUUUGCGAAUAUAGUUAUGGUUGUAAAACCGAAUCUAAAAACAUUGUGCUCAAGUUUGGCUUGUUUAAUUAUUUCCGAGCUCAAGCUAGGUUUGGCUUGGUUCUUACACAAGAGCACAAAGUUUUUCAGUUCGGAAAUAAUUAAACAAGCCAAACUUGCUGCUAGCUCUCUUGUAAGAAGGGUAGGCUGCUGAUGAUAAUCAGUCUUUGCAAUCCUACUGCUAGCUAGCAGUUUUGAAGGUCCUUGUUGGUAAGAGCGCAAAAAUUGUUUUGUUCUUACAUUUCUUUGUAUCGAGUGAUGUAUCUGUCAGAAAUUGUAUCGAGUGAUGUAUAUGUCAGCAAUUAUUUUGUUCACACAUUCCUUGUAGUUCUUAUCGGGUUUGUUUAAAUCAUAGAUAUAGAUAGUUGUACAUGUAUACACAUGUCAUAUACAGGGCAGGCCUAGGCCCAGUGCGGGCAGGGCGACCGUCUGGGGCCCAAAAAAAUUAGGAACAUCAAAAUUAUUAGUGUGGCAUAUUUAUAUGCAUUUUCAUACGAGUAUAAAUUUAUUAAAUUUGGUUUAAUGACAAAGAAAUUUAACUAGAAUCGGUGAUUUUGUUGUUUGAAAUUAAUGAGGAGGUCUUGGGUUCAAAACAACAUGUGUGCUUAUUUAAGUUUCAAUUUUUACAAAUUUCUUUUCAUAACAAUAUAAAUUUAUAAAAUUUGGCUAAAUGAUUAGAAGUUUAAUUAGAAGCAAUGGUUUUUGUAUUUAAAAUUAACAAGAGAUCCUAAGUUCGAAAUGCUAUGUGCAUGUUUAUUUUUUUUCAAUAUUUACAAAUUUUUGUUUGGUUGCUAAUUUAUUUUUAAUUACUAGCUAGUAACUAUGUACGUUGCUAUUUUGAAAUAGUCAUUCCAAUUCAAGUCUAAUCUACAACAAAGGGUAAUGCGUAGACUAAAUUUUUAGACCAAAUUUGCUAAUCAUAUAACGUGUCAUCAAAAGGUUUAAUUUGGUGCCCAUUCAUUACAUAUACUUAUCUUUAAAGACUAGAAAAUAUCAUUAUUUUUUUAGUCUUAUAUUGACGAGGUUAUUAAAUAAGAAAAAACACCUCACAAUUUUGUUCACCCUAAAAACUACCAAGCCUACGUGGUGCGCAGGCCAAGUAAUUAAUAAGUUAACUAUGUCCUUCAGUUAUGUGCGAGGCAUGCCAACUCGACGGCCGAGCUCAGCUGAGGAGUAAAAUUUGUUGAUAUUGUGUUGAGUGCGCUGCUGACUUCUUGAUCUUGUGACUACGGUUGAGGAAGGAACACGUCUCAGCCUUCGGGUUCCAGAGCCUGAAGAUAAGGCUACUAGUCUUGCGAAGUUCACGGAUCGUCAGCAUCGGGUUCGGUCACGGUGAUUAUAUUCAUGAGAGUAUAAGCACGUCGAACUGGCACCAAACUAUACGGACACAAGUACUCAAAAUAGAUGUAUGUCUUGAUAGUAAAUGUCGUUCAGCCAUCAAAAUGCCGAACUCUAAAACUUACUUGUGAAUAUCCAAUCAUAAACAACUCAGCUUUCAAUGUGUCGAGCCCAAUAAUCUGUAACACCUCACUUCGCCGAAAAGGCUAAUGAGAAGACCUUCGCCAACAAGAACUAAAAAAUCCUUCUUGGCCGAGACUUGGAUAGGUAACCAGUCGGCCUCGACGCAGUGCUGUUUAUCCAAACUGAAGGUGCUCCAAGGUCAGCUGAUUCUACGACAACAGUUUUGUUUAUCCAAACUGAAGAUGUAGCCGGUUGCCUUCAUAGUGUUGUUUAUCCAAACUGAAGAUGUGUUAGCGAAAAAGAAAAUAAAAAUCUCAAGAUGUUUGAGAGGUUUCGCUUAAAGCGAGGGUUUGCGCAGGGUAGUUUGUGUGUUGAAUUGGAGGGGGCUUAGAAUGACGCACCCCCUUCUUAUUUAUAGCAGCCAAUCUCGAUAUAACCGAACCAGAACUACACUCGGAUUAGGAUUCUUCAUCCUAAUCUAACCAGAUCUCGGCCAAUCCUUCCUCCAUUAGGACUUUGAACCAACAUCUUUAUUCGGCCAUAUUCACUUCUCAAAUCUCAGCAUCCUCAUUCCAUUGUGACUCCUUAUUAUACUAGGAUUCGACUCACCCCAUCAAUCAUCCCCAUAUUAGGACUCGGCCGAUCUUAACCAAGCAGCCCAUGAUAAUUCUAGAAACAUACUGCCGGGCUGAGAACAACUCCUAACUCGGCCCACAUCAAUAUUUUGGGCCCAAACAUUGCCCCUUUGCUUCUGAGGUCCUUAGCUUUCAUUCCUAGGCCGAGCCUCGACCUUGAAGAAGCGAAAUCGACUCCUAUACCUCUAUAAUAAAAACUGAAAUACCUCAAAUAAUCGUUAAGUCAUCGAAUCGUCUUUUCAUCAUAAAAACCUGCCGCCACACGUCACCACGUCACCUUAAUCCACGAGUUAUUCGCUCCUUUCAUAUGGAUUCCCUAAAUAUCCGUGAUGAUUGCAAAACUGUCUGACUGGUCUUACCUUUUUUCAAAAAUCAAACGAUUGGCCUUCUUCCAAAAACCCAUAUAAAUACCCAAAUUCCUUCAUUUUUUUUCCUUUAUGCUUUCAGAAAUUUCAAACCUUUUACUCCCAGAACAACCUUCAAAGCUCAUUCUCUAACUAUAAAAACUUUUAAGUCCAGAAAUUUCUUCGAGUUCUCAAUGGCUUCCAACACCUUAAUCUCCAAACUUUCCGACGAAUGCGCCAAGUGUCGGGACUUCAUUUACUGGAACCACUCUUUAAAGACAAUGUCUCAGCGUCCAUUACCAAUCUCCUCAAAGCUCACUGCUUGGAACCCUUGUUUCAAGGAUAUGACUGAUCGAAGUGGGAACUGACCAAACCUCAGGGGGCUUGGCCUUCAACUAUUGUGGCCUGGGUAGCUUGGGUAGAGAGGAUGGAGAAGUUCUUCAACAAGGAAUGGAAGACUCUCGGUAUUUACGAUGCCAUCAAGUUUUCGACCAUCGAGAUUGCCAUGGACAAAGAACUUCUCAUGGCAGCUCUAGGUUUUUGGUGCUCUGCCACCAAUACUAUGGUCCUCCCACUCGGUCCCUAUUGGCCCCACUAUUCUCGACGUCUCAGCCAUCAGCGGGAUUUCCCCUUCAGGUCUUCUGAUUAAUGUCGUCCUCUCUGGGUACCAAUCCAACCUCGACCUCAAGACACUCUUCAAAUAACGUGUUAUCGAGUCGCUGAGGAAGAAAAACCAAGAGCCAUCAAAAGCAAAAGUUCAGAAGUUACACAAGAAUUUCUUCAACUACAACACCAUCAUCCAACACUUCGCUGGCCGAGGGGAAGAAACCCUUAGGAAGGGAGAACACAAAGCCUUCCUAUUUUACUGGUACAACAAAUUUAUUUACUGUACCAAGUCGAAUAAAUGUUUGGUCAAGAACAUGCCGGUUGUUGAAGCCCUAGCCAGUGGUCAUAUCUUGGCUCUUAGCUCGGCUAUCUUUGCCAACCUCACCCGCUGUCUAGUUGAGACGACGGUCAACAAGAUUGACCCACAUCAGAAUGGCCCAUUCUAGGUUCUUCAACUCUAGCUGCAAGCCUACUUCCCCACUCUCAGGCUAGAAGUCCCCAACUUCAAGUCCUCUGAAGCACUAGGUCUUAAAUUGGGCUCUAGACCCGUUCUUCUUCACUUAGCCGAGGAAGUUUUUAAAUACUUUUUCAGCCCAAAAGACAUUUUCAACGACGAGUUUCUAAUCUGCCGUCGUCAAAAAUAUCCCUCUUCCAUCAAGCUUCCAUCCUCGGCAUGGAAUGAAGCAGAAGAUGCUGACCUUCGAAAGAACUGGGGAUCGUUUGUGUUAACUCGUGACCUUCCUCUCGGCUGCGAUGCUAAGCGGGCAAGUUGGAAAGUCUACCAACCCAACUUCACCACACGGUAACUCGGCUACCUCUAAGGCUGCCCAAUGUCUCUACUCACCUCUCAUUCUCUCCUAAGCCGAUGAUACCUCUCUGGUUCUUCAGAAAGAUAAUGCAGGAGGCUAAGUAGGAAUUUUAAGAAAGGUGCAAGAAAUUCCACCUCCGGCCAAACGUCCCUGAGACUCUCAAUACUGCGACCUUUGUUGACUAGUGGGCUGUAUAUACUCAAGACUUUUUUGGUGCACCGGUUGAAAACGUUAUCAAGAAAAUUUUCGACGAUCGCCUGAAGAAGACUCCCACCCCAAAAUCCAAAGAAACGGCUCAAGGUAUUUGUCUGCGUUUCUCAUUUCACUUUGGCCACUUGUUCAAACUCCCUUUCUGAUUUGAUUUUAGCUUUUUCAGGCAGUCAUAUGGAUGUGGCAGCUGCGGCCGUGGCUAAGAAAAAACUUGCCCUCUCACUAAAGAAAACCGUGAUUGCUUUGUUGACCUUGCCAGGGAAAUGGUCUCGCCUAGAUGCCGAGCGACGCUCCCCGUACUAAAAAAUGCAUCAAGAAGUUGGCAAAAAAAUGGGAGCGGGAGAUUCAUGUCAUCUCCAGCCAAACCACAUGAGCAACUGCUGAGUCUCCUCACUUUCUUGAUGUUCAAGCCUCAGCGGACAUGCAACCAGAACCUCAUACUAGUCACGCACCUGAGGUUCGUCCCGUUCAACAAGUUGUGGUUGAGCCAACCGUUGAUCUGGUGGUCAAAUAACAUGUAGCUCCAGGGCCGGCCGUUGCACUUGUCUUGGAGGAAGCGGCCACCUUAGCCGAGAAAAAUCUCUUUCAGAAUCCAAAAACAAAACCAGUAGUCGUUCUGGAGGAAAAGGUAUGAUUUUGUUGCUGGCAAUUUUUUCUUCAACUAGAUUCCAAAUACUAACAACUCUUAUUUCAGGAUGACAACAGCGAAGAAAUCCCGCUAAUAAGUCGCCUUUGACCAACUAAACCCCCUACCACUAACCCUCCGGUUAUGGUUGAGGCGACUGACCAGGUCGAUCCUUCUGCAGCUGAUCGUGGAAAAAGGCCACUUGUCGAGCCUGAAGUGACAACGGAGACACCAAUCCAUUCGCAGGAUCAAGACCCAUUCCUCAUUAAUAAGUUAUUUCGACCCUUGUAAGGCUCAAUCAUUUCUUUCGUUUAUUUUACUAUAACAAGUCUGAAUCAAGAAAAAUAUUAAAUAUCAGGUGCCUGAUUAUUCCUUUCACCGAAAAUUCUAUGCGCCGAAGAGUGUUAUCUAUAUUUCCUGGCCACCUCAGUGGCAGUCGAAUGUAGAUAACCUUCGUCAGCCGCGUGAAUUGAGAAGCAGUCUUAAACACAGGGCUUGUCCAUUAAGCUCUCUAGGUUCGAGCAAUGAACCAUAGGACAUGGCCGAAGUCUCAUCUCGGCAGGUCUAAAACAAAUUAUGUAUGCUAUAUUCUUUACAAUUUUCCUUUUGCCUAAAAUAUUUUCAUGUGCAGCCUUCAUGGGAAGUCAAGCUCGACACUUUCCUUUCAAAUACUUCUAGAGUAGCCGGGUCAUCUGUUGUGUCGGCAGAGCCUUCGGCGAUCACGGCGGAAUCUAAUGUCUUCGCCAAGUUGCAGAAACUCCUAUCCCUUUCCUGCCUCACAAGUCCUUCAAUGUAAAGGCCUCGACUCUAUAGGAGAAUGCCUGAACGAUCUUGUAGCCAGUGGUUUGCUGAGCAUCGAAAAUGUCAUCCACCUAUCCAAUCUUCUAGAGCAGACCCGGCAGUACUUUAUUAUUUUUGAACAGGCUCUCAGGGCAGAAGACGACCUAAAGGCUGCAAAGAUUAUUUAUGAAGCCAGUCGGCCGGAGGUUGAGGCCAUAAAAGUAAAGAAAACGUGGCUGGCCAUUCUGAAUCAUCAAAUUGCCGAAUUUCAAUUUUAAAUUGCUGAACUUCAACGGCAAAGGUCGGUUGUUGCUUCAGAACUCGAAAAGAAUUUUGAAGUGAAUAAGGCUCGACUGACGAACUUCACGAUUGGCAUAAAGCAGAUCCAGAAACUUCAGCUUAAUAAAAGAACGAGGCAAGCUGAAGUCACAAGGGGCAAAGUAAGAUGGUUGGAACUGAAGGCCGUUCUUAAAGCCUUUAUUCCUUUGACCCCUUAGGAUUUUGGCCUUAGGAAUCUUUUGUAACUUCACUUGUACGCCCUUUUACAAAAUUAAUGAAAUGAUCUUUUAUUCUCGCGUCUCCUAAGUGACUGGAUAAUAUUUGUUUAAAAAUUUCCUGUUGUUCAGCAAUUUGUGAAUUAAACCAGUCCGAUCCUUGAGGUGGUAUACCCUCUUACCGAGAACUUUAUGAAUGACGAACGGUCCUUCCUAAUUCGAUGACCAUUUGCCGAACAUGGGGUCUUUAAUCCCCAUAGGUAGCACAGUUUGCCAAACCAACUAUCCCUCUCCAAAUGUUUUUUGUCUGACUCUUUAAUUAUAGGCUCGCUCGGCAAUCAUCUUAUAUGCCACCAAUAAAUUAUAAGCAUCAAACCAAAUUUCUUCCAAGUCUUCUAAGUCUUGUCUCAUGGCAUAACUGUACUCGGCACUGAACAAACUACUUUGUUCAAUCACUCGCAACGAGUUUAUACUUAGCUUGACCGGUAUUAUCGCAUCGUGUCCAUAGGUUAAAGCGUAUUGAGUCGUUCUGGUGGUUGAUUGGAAUGAAGUUUGAUAAGCCCAUAACGCUUCGUUUAACUUUAAAUGCCACAUACCGGGCCUCUCUUUUACCAUUUUUUCGAGUAGAUCGAUCAAAACCUUAUUACUUGCUUCGGCCUGUCCAUUCGCCAGCAGGUAAUAUGGAGUAGACUGCUCGAGUCAAAUUUUUAGAUUUACCGUAUACUCCUUAAACUGUCGGAUGUAAAGAUUAUUCCAUUAUCUAUUAUGAUUGUUCCUGGUACGCCGAAUCUAGUUACGAUGUUUUCUUCUACAAAAUUACAGACUUCUUUAAACGUUAACUUGGUAUAUGACUUGGCUUCGACCCAUUUGAUGAAGUAGUCUGUCGUGACGAGUAUCCACGCAUGUUUUGCUGACCCAGAAUAUGGUGCAAUUUUGCCGAUUACAUUCAUGGCCCAUCUUCUGAACAACCAUGGUUUGGGGACCGAAUAUAGUGAUUCAGCCGGGACUCUCUAUAUAGGCCCAUGAAUUUGACAUUGUACACAUCCUUGUGCAAACUCAAUACAAUCAUUCAAUAUACUCGGCCAGAAAUAACCGUGUCGAUGAAGCAACCAUCGCAUAUUUGGUCCAGACUGAUGAGCCCCGCAAAUUCCUGAGCAGCCUCAUAAAGGCCGAGGCAUAACAGUAAUAGACCAUCCUCACCCCUUUGGUACAAUUCAUUUUGGUACGUUACAUAAUUCAUGGCGUGAACCCUUAUCUUAUGGUAUAAUUGACUUUCACCAAUCAUCUGGCAUUGCCUCGACUGCGCAAACCUUUAUAGGGUCUUUCCACUUCAACAACGAAGGUAAGGACAUGACUCGUGUAUGGAUCACGCAAUCACGUUGGAGAACUUGUUGAUUAACCAAGGCCGGGUAUGCUCGUUCUGACACAAGUAUUUCUCGACCUAGUUUGCCCUCCAUGAGUUGUGCUCCGGAGGCUAUUUGAGCUAAUUCAUCUGCGUCAGUGUAUCGAACUCGUGAAAUGUGUUUGAAAGUAACAUCGUCGAACGGCCAAAUAGUUGGUAAUCAUGUGAUAGGGUGCCAGAGUACAACUCAUGCAACGAAAAGUCCCAUUAAGUUGGUUAAUCAGAAGUUUAGAACCACCGAGAAUAAAGACACGAGUUGCCCACAAAUCGUGUAGGACACCAAGGUCGAUGAUAAGGGAUUCGUAUUCAACCUGAUUAUUCGUACAAUCGAAAUCGAGCUUAAGAGAAAAUUACCAGCCAUUGUGAUUUGGGGAUUGAAUAACGAUCCCAACGCUAGCCAAAACUGAAGUACUUGAACCAUCAAAGUACAUCGUCUAGUAAUUAUCACGUGUUUCCACCAUGCCGAUUUCAACGUCAUUGGCCUCAAAACCGUAUGGUGAGGGAUGUUGGGCCAAGAAAUCGGCCAACGUUUGGCGUUUGACAUCUUUUUGGGGCACAUAUUGUAAACUGAAUUCAGACAGUGCCAUUGUCCAUUUUCUGAUUCGGCCUUUUACUAUAGGCCGAGUGAGCAUGUAACGAAUGACAUCAGUUUGGGUGAUGGCCUGAGUGAUUGACGGGAGCAUGUAAUGCCAGAUUUUUGAUGCAACGAAAAAUAAGGCUAGGCGGAGCUUCUCGACGGCAGAAUAAUUAAUCUCCAGUGGGUUGCGAUUUCGGCUAAGAUAAAAACUGGCCUAUUCUCACCCAACAUCAUUGUUUUGUGUAGAUCUCGUACAAAUACUCGGAGGACUUAAAUGUAAUUAUGUGAUAAAUGAAAGGGAAAAUAUGUAAUAAGUGAGGAGUCCUUAUUCUAUAAAAGGACCCCUUACCCUCACAAUUAGGAGAGGCCAAUUCCUAGGCCCUCUCACCCCCUCUCAAAGCUCUCACUCUCAGAGCUCUCUCUCCCUCAGAUAAAUACAUAAUCAGUGUGGACGUAGCCCAAACCUUGGGGUGAACCACGAUACAUCUUGUGUUAUUUACAUUACUUGCAGAUUCACGGUCAGAUUUACGUUGUUCCAAGACCUCCGGCUUUGUGCAUCAAUAAAUACAGAUACAUAAAACACCAUUUUUCUUUAAAACCGGAAUGAUGUUUGCCAACUAAUCGACGUAUCGAGCUGUCUGAAUAAACCCAGCUUUUAAAAGUCGAACGAGUUCAUUUUUUAUGCCGAGUAGUACUUCAGUUGAGAAUCGCCGAGGUGGUUGGCGGAAUGGUUUACACCCAGGUUUGAUGUGUAAUUCAUGUUCAACUAGCGUUCAAUCUAAACCAGGCAUCUCAUGGUAGCUCUAAGCAAAACAAUCCUUAAAUUCUCUGAGCAAAUUAUAAAGCUUGGUUUUUAUAUGUUGGGGGUAACAAAGCACUAAUGAACAAAGGCCGUGGAUCUUUGGCCAUUCCAACAUUUAUUUCCUUUAAAGGAUCCUUGACUUGAGGUUGACUAUCCUCGAGCUCGGCUAGUGCAGCCUGAACUUUGUUUAGUGAAAGUAUUGGGCCGUUGUCUCAUUUGGCCAAAAAUUCAACUAAGCUUACGUCCGAAUUUACUUGCUUGGAAAUAACAUACCAAUGGGUCAGUAGUCGUUCCAUGGUAGAUGAAACCAUGGCAUGGUGUCUGUUCUAGCUAUCUUCAGACAUUAGUGUCUAUGAUAAGAUCAGCCAACCUAAGUCUUUACGAAUCCUGAUGAACAGUCUCGGUGCCUACCUUGAUUACUUUCUGUAUUGAAAUUCGAGUCGGCCGUCCUUCCUCGUUCAAACCUUGUAGGGUAAUAUAGCCGACGUGAUCAUCGUAAUACCAUGCCUGAAUCAUAUUGGCUUCAAACGGAUGAUUGUUGGCUGGAUGAACCACAACUAAUUUACCGUCCUAAAAGAUAAGAACCUGAUAUAAUGAAGAGGGAAUGCAAUUUAUUUGAUGGAUCCAAUUCUGACUGAGCAAUGCAUUAUACUCUGUCUUGGAAUCGACGAUAAAGAAUGCGGUCAUAUGAUUGUGACCUGCAACGUUUACCUUCAAAGGAAACACUCAUUUGGUCUGAGAUUUGUCGUUGACAAAGCUGUUCAUGGUUAUUCCUGAUGGAAUGAGUUCGUUGUUAGAUCGUCGUAGUGCCUUCAUGACGGAUACAGGCAUGAUAUUGACUGUAGCCUUACAAUCGACGAAGAUUUUAAAGAUUGGAUAACCUUCAAUGUGAACUGUUACAUACAACGGCUUCAAAUGUUGAAGAUUAACCGAAGAGGAGUGGGGAAACAGUAUGGCCAUAACUGCUUUAAGUUUGUCGGCUUUACUCGCUUGCCCAUCUUCUUCGGUGGCGAUAAAGUCGACUUAUGUUACUUCUUCUGCAAUCACAUCCCCAUCCGAGGAAUUUGGUUGGUGUGUGGUUGGUUGAAAUUCAGCAGGUAAGACAUGGACCAUGCUGAUUUCCAUAUUUUCAAUGACUGAAGGGCCCAUCCGGUUUUGGUCAUCGUCUUCCGGGUUAUCAAGUACAGUAUCAUGCUUUGGAGCAUCCUCGACCUGAUUAUCUCUAGCCUCAUUGGGUACCUGCUCUUGUGGUAUGUUAACUGAACCAGUUUCAUUCUGGCUGUCAUCCUUGAGCUUGUUCAUUGCUAGGGUUUGAUUUUGUCCCUACAGUGCUUUACGGGCUCGUUCUUCAUAGGCGAUACGGCUAAGAAGACUUCGAAAUGAUGUCGUAAAUACUGAAGGUUUUCAAAAGAAAAAGAGAGCUCGACAAUGUCUAUGUCUGUGUACGGGUCAACCUCCAAGCCGAGGACCCAAGCUAGACGUAUAUGCUGGAACCUGGCGUUCAUUGCUUUAUCAUUGGUUUUCUGGAUAAUCUGUUCUGCAUCAGGGCAAGUUAGUGCCAGGUCGAGGGCUUCUUGACAUGCCUUGGGUAGGCCGUACAAAUCAUUGGCAGAAUGUUUCUUGUGAAAUUCUCACAUUUACUCCAAGGAUUCUAUGAAGAAUGGAGGAUGUAGAUUCCGUCAAACUCUUAUUAACGGUUCUUGCAGGGGUAAUGGGGGAAGCUUGCUUUCAACUUCUUUUCUGAAAUGCUCGAAACGAGCUUUCAUCUCGUCGGGCCGAAUGAGGAGUUUGAUGUGCUUCUCGGACUCUUCAAUGGUGGUUUCAAAGUCAUGAUCAAUUACCUUUUUCCCCUAAAGUAAUUCAGCCAUGAUUGCCUAGGGUUGUCGGUCAUCUCCACUUCCUGUUACUUCUUUCGGUUGCUAUUUGGUAGUUGAAGUAGCAUGCGUUGCCUAUCGUUGAGCUAUGCAAUCUAUCCAAUGGCUUCGACGUUUCUGAGAUUUGGAUAAUGCAGUAUACAUGCAUGUAGGAGAAUUGUAACUAUACCAAUGUUGGUCACUUGGCUCAGGUGGCUUGAAGGUUUUUUGAUUCGCCGAUGAACUCGAGCUGCUGGAGUUAUGCGAGUAAUAAUCCUCAUUAUAAAACGGCGCAUCAAAAUCAAGACGCCUUCUGGCUGAGGUUGGUCCGUCCAUUCAUAGUUGAGGGCUAAGCCUAUCGAACACCUUCUGGCGCUAACCUACGCUGAGUACCUUUGAAGGUGUAGCCACGACAGUGGAUGGUUGUCGUGGUGUUGGAGCCUGAGGUGGUUUCUCCUUUGGUUCGAUUAAGAUGACGCGUGUUUUACAAUGGCUGCAUAAAACUAUCAGUUCAUCAGUUUCUUCUGCACUGGAGUCUGACAUAGAUUCGACUAUAACCGGUCCUGAAAACUCUGUAGGUGGUUCGUUUGAAAAUAGAUCAAUCUUGAGUCUCGACCGAGAGUUCUGCUUUGGGACAUGUUGUAUUGGAACGAACUUAGCCUUUCCCUUCCUUUUCCUCUUGGGCAAAUGAGCAUCUACCAUGCCAACUGUCGUUGAAAGGAAGGGAUCAAAGUUAAUAAUCAUCUGUUUUUCAGGAAAUUUUAGCUUGCCUUUAUCAAUCUAGCUUUGAAUAGCAUCACGGAACACUACGCAAUUGUUUGUGGUAUGCUUAUUCGAGUUAUGGUACUUAUAAUAUGUUUUGCCUUUCAGCUCUUUGGCCUUGGGAAUGUUAUGUCCCGGCCGAAGUUUGAUGAUUUUUGCCAACAACAACUGGUUGAAAAUUACAUCGGCCUUAGUGAUAUCAAAAGUGUAAACUUUUGAGGUUUUACUUGUCUCUUCAGACCGAGCGGGUUUUGGCAUCCUUGGAAUUAAUUUGAGCAAAUGCCUUGCAUAUGUACGGUUUAUCUAUCAUUAUCUCAGCUGUGUCCACACUGGCAUAUUGGGAAUCCUCGCAUUCGGCCAAUGCGUAGCUAACCGUGGGAUUUUUGUAAAUCGUUCAUCGAGAUGGGGACUUCAAGAUCUUUUCUUCUCGGAGCAAAUACUCAUAUUGCUCGACGUGCUGGGCCAGUUCGUACAUAUCUCAGAAGUUUGCCCCUAAGAAUUGCUUUUUAUGUUCCAUAUCCAGGUCGUUCAGAACGAUUCUGAUGAAUUCAACUUCAGGGAGAGGUACUCGGCACCAAUUUCUGGCCGACGUGAACCUCGUUAAGUGUUCCAUUGGCCACUCGUUAGAUGCUUGAGCCAUUCUAGCCAGUGAUGAAAUUGACAUUUCCAUUCUGGGUUGGUAGAAUUGUUCAUGGAACUUUUCGACCAGUUCCUCCCAACUUUGGAUGGAAUGGGUGGGAGGUUGAUGUACCAAGCAAAUGCUAAACCUGUUAGCGAGAAGUUGAAUAGUUACAAUUUAUGGAAGUCGUUAUUAACAUCUCCGCAUUGCGCAGUGAACCGAGCCACAUGUUCUAACAAAGACUGGGACAAUUCGCCAGCAAAAAGGCUGAAAUCUAGGAUUUUAAAACCUUUAGGAUAUUCGAACUUCUCUACAUAAGCUGGGUAUGGAUGGAUGAACUUUGCGAACUUCAGCCCCUUUUUCAAAGCUGAAUCGAUCAUUCUUUGGACCUCGAUCACAUCGACGGAUGCUAUUUCUUCUCUCUGGUCGGAUCCGUCUGACCUGCUGCUUGAUCCUUCUUUUUUUUCCAAAUCGAACAUUUUGAGCCGAGCAAGUCCUGUCUCGGUCUGUAGCGUUGAUACCGUAUUACCCUUUGGUGGAAGUUGUCAGGAACGAUCGGUGGGUUCGUUGUCGUAAACUUUACAAACCAAUAAUUCGAGCGCUUUGUUGUGUGCCUCACCACUACUACGUAUUACUUCAAGUAUGCUUCUUACUUCUCAACUGAAAAUAUGAGAUUCGAGUCUUCUCCAAAGAAAAUGUCUAAUAGGUAGAUCAGAACCUUCACUAUCAUCCUCAUCACAAUCUUUUAUUAAAACGCCAUUGGUUCUGUUAGGGGUUUUUGCAUUAAGGGGCUAGCUGCCAAGGCCAACUUCCUUUUCUCGGUGUGUCACACUUAUGGCCUCAGGCUUCAAGGCAAUAGAAGGAUUCUGUGCCUGUGACGAGUCUUCUUGUCCUGGGUUCUAGACUAGAAGAUUGGUGGUGGACUUUCCUAUGACUGUUCUCUUUUUAGCCGAUCAUGUCUCAAUGGUCAUGAAAUUCGUAGUUAGCACUGGGUCCCACUAGGCAUGCCAAAAUGUUGAUCCUAAAAACUACCAAGCCUAUAUGAUGCGCAGGUCGAGUAAUUAAUAAGUUAACUACGUCAUUCGGUUAUGUGCGGGGCGUGCCAACUUGUUGGUUGAGCUCAGCCGGGGAGUAAAAUUUGUUGAUGUUGCAUUAAGCGCACUACUGACUUUGAUCUUGCAACUGCGGCCCAGGAAGGAACACAUUUCGGCUUUCGGGUUCUAGAACCUGAUGACAAGGCUGCUAGUCUUGCGAAGUUCACAGAUCGUCGGUACCGGGUUCGAUCACGAUGAUUAUAUUCGUGAGAGUAUAAGCAUGUCGAACUGGCUCCAAACUAUACAGACACAAGUACUCAAAAGAGAUAUAUGUCUUGAUAGUAAAUGUCGUUCGGCCGUUAGAAUGCCAAACUUUGAAACUUGCUUGUGAAUAUCCAAUCAUAAACAACUCGGCUUUCAAUGUGUCGAGCCCAAUAAUCUGUAAGGCUAAUGAGAUUACCUCUGCCAAUAAGAACUUGAAAAUUCUUCUUGGUCAAGACUUGGAUAGGUAACCAGUCGGCCUCGACGCAGUGUUGUUUAUCCAAACUGAAUGUGCUUCGGGGUCAGCUAAUUCUACGGCAACAAUGCUAUUUAUCCAAACUAAAGACGUCACUGGUUGCCUUCAUAAUGUUGUUUAUCCAAACUGAAGAUGUGUUGGCAAAAAAGAAAAUAAAAAUCUCAAGAUGUUUGAAAGGUUUCAUGUAGAGCGAGGGUUUGCGCAUGGCAGUUUGUGUGUUGAAUUGGAGGGGGCUUAGAAUGACGUACCCCUUCUUAUUUAUAGCAGCCAAUCUCGACAUGACCGAACCAGAACUACACUUCGAUUAGGAUUCUUCAUCCUAAUCUAACCAGAUCUCGACCAAUCCUUCCUCUAUUAGAACUUUGAACCAAUUUCUUUAUUCGGCCACAUUUACUUCUCAAAUCUUAGCAUCCUCAUUCCAUUGAGACUCCUUAUUAUACUAGGAUUUGACUCACCCCAUCAAUCUGCCUCAUACUAGGAACAUACUGCUGGGCCGAGAACUCCUAACUCGGCCCACACCAAUAUUUUGGGCCCAAACAGAUUUAUACAAAACACUUUAAAAUUUCAUAUAGAAGACAAAACUUAUAAUUUAUCUACUUGUAAGCCUGAAGUUUUUUUGUUCACUUUUCUCGAUGCAAAAUAAAUUAGGUUUUCCGUGUUACUAAAUUACUGAGUUUGAAGUGCUUUUCUAAAUAUAAUUUUAUCGGCGUCUUACAUGUAAAAACAAAUAAUUUUUUUAUAUGGAGUAAGGGCACAUUUUUUGGCAUCGCCCUGGGCCUCAAAAAUCUCUAGACGGACCUUCGUCAUAUAUCAUAUGCGUAAAAACAAAUGCACAUAGGUAUCUAUGUCUGAUUGUUCAUUGGGUAACUUGUUUAGCAAGUCUAUGGUUGCUUCAUGUUCAUAUAAGUUGUAGCUGGUUCUAAGAAAGAAGCUCAAUGCCAAAAGUAAGAGGUUGAGUUGAAGGUUGAAGGUUGAAGUUCGACAGGUUACAAAGGUAGGUUUUAAUAGCAAAGCUUUCGAUUUAUCUGUUUUUUACAUUGUAUUUUAUUUUAGGAUUAAUUUCAGUUACUACCCUAAUUUUUUUAGUUUUCAACAUUUGGUACAUGAAGUUUUUUUCAUCCCAAAGUGGUACAUAAAGUUAUAAUUUUGGGACAUUUUUAUACAUCCAUUAAUGUUGCUGUUAAAUUUGCCAUUAACUGAUAGCGUGGCAUCGACGUGGACAAUGACUAGGCGCCACGUGGAUAUUAAAAAUAAUAAAAUAAUAAAAACUAAAAAAAUUAAAAAACAAACUUUUAGGCAUCUUCUCCCUUACCCCUUCCGACCCCCCUCCCCUCUUUCCUCUGCACCUACCCUUCCCAUUCCCUCUUCGACACCACCCACUCCAUUUCUUUCUCUCUCCCUCCCACAUCUCUCUCUCUAUCAAUGGCCUCCUCCAAGUCCACAUCUCUCAUAAACCCUAUCAGGUUCUGAAUCUCCUCCUGGACCACAUAUCCGCCCGUUUCUUCAGCUCAGUGGCAUCGCCUGGACCACCUCCUGCUCUGCUACUCAUAGCCGCACACAAUUCCUGCUCAUCCCUAUCACCACCGCUGCUCUGUCGCUUCUGUUGUUCUCCUACAUGUCGGAUUGCUACUGGCUAGGGUUUGAGGGUGUAGGGGAGUGGACUAGCAUGCGGGUGUAGCGGAUAAUACGGAACGGAUGAGGAAGACGGGACAAAGGACAAAAGAGUCCACAUCUCUUCUCAACCCUAUCAAGCUUUCGAUUUUCUCUUGGGCCCACGUCUCCGCCCAUUUCUUCAGCCCCAGCAGCACCGCUGGACCGCUUCUUGCUCUGCUGCUCAUAGCCGCACAUAAUUCUUGCUCAUCUCCCUCACCAUUGCUGCUUUGCCACUACUGCUGCUUCUCCAAGAGGUACAUGUCGGAUUACUACCAGCUGGGGUUUUAGGGUGUAGGGGAGUGGAUUGGCAUGCGGGUGUAGCGGAUAAUAUGGAGCGAAUGAGGAAGACGAGAUAAAGGACAAAAAAAAAAGAAAUAGAGUGAGUGGUGUCGAAGAGGAAGGGGGAAAGGUGAGUGCAGAGGAAAGAAGGGAAGGGGUCGGAAGGGGUGAGGGAGAAGACGCCCAAAAGUUUUUUUUUAUAUUUUUUUUAGUUUUUAUUAUUUCAUUUUUUUAAUAUCCACAUGGUGCCUAGUCAUUGUCCACAUGGAUGCCACAUCAUCAGUUAAUGACAAAUUUAACAACAACCUUAACGGAUGUAUGAAAAUGCUAAAAUUAUAACUUUAUGUACCACUCUGGGAUGAAAAAAACUUCAUGUACCAAAUGUUGAAAACCAAGAAACUUUAGAGUAGUAAACUGAGAUUAACCCUUUAUUUUAUCUUUUUUAUGGUGAUAUGUCCCUUUAGCUUCAUGUCUGACAUGUCAUGCUUCUUUUGCCUAAAACUAUCUCAGCUUCCAAGUUAUUCUUGGUUUGGUUACAUCUAAAUGUCUCCAUCAUUUUAGCAGAUCCAUCUUUUUGCUCACUUUUGUGAUGCUUUUCGAUGUCUGAUUACUCAGUUUUUUCGUUCGUCUUGUUAGUUACUCUUGUUUGGGUUAAUAUUUAACAUUGGGCUUUGUAUUAGGGAGAGCCAAAGGCGCCAAAACAAGUCGAACUUUCUCGAAGCCCAGCAUUGGGGCCCGAAGCAAAUUGAAGCCUUUUUUCAGCCAAGGCAUAAGCCAUAUACCUAUGAUUGAAGUGACAAAUGACAGAGACCAACUCACUAUCAGCCAAAAAACACUUUCUAAUUGCAUGGAGGUUUAAAUACAUGAUGACUCACUACCCCUACGAGCCCUCAGCCAAGAACAAAGCCAAAGCAAUCGGGCCAUAUUGUCUAUAAAAGGAGAAAGAGACAUCAGAGACAAAGACACUAAAAAAACCAAUCAAAACAUAUACAAACUUUGCUCUCACGCCAGUUCGUACCUAGAAAGCUGAAACUUGUCCAAAUUCAAUCUUUUUAGCUUUAGUUCCCUUAGAAAAGCUAUCUUUUGUCUAGUGUAAAAGCUCUGCUACCUUCCAUUAGUGUUGUAGUAUCGAUUCCCUCAUGUAAAACCUAUUUACCAUCCAUCAUUUUUUAGCAUUCAACCUCUGUAAACUCAAAGAGAAGUGGUUGCAAGAAGUUCAACCUUGCUUGACAAGGUGAAAUCUUGCCUUAGUCUCUUUGUUUGUACUUUAAUUUAGUAGAUCUGUCCCUUAAUGUACUUUUCAGCAUGUAUUCAAGUUAUUUCCAACUGUUUUCUACCUAAGAGUCCCAUUUGCAUUCGAAUCUAGUUAACUUAAUAAAUCUGUUUUCAUUAAGGACAAACCAUGUUCGAGGAAAUGGUUAAAAGGGCCCUGAACUCCCUUUGUUUUGGACAUACAAGAUUAUGAACUAAAAGUCCUUGUUUACAAGGCAAGAAAAAAAACCUAAUGCAGACUUAACUCAUCUGUGACAAUCCUUUGAUAACAAGAAGUUUAAGUAACUUGGUGCAAGUAAUCAACUUAAUUCACACUUGUUCAACAUUUGUUAUACUGAGAUAACAGUGGCACGCCAAGAUCCUUGUUAGUUUUGAUUGCGAGCCUCAAGGCCUACACCUAAGGCCCCAUAAAUGCACAUUUCAAACUAACUAUUAACUUAUCUUGCAGCACACCAAACAGCAAGAUCCAGCCUGACGACAAACCAAGCAAGUGCCACACCCCGAGGAGUUGUGUGGGAGGAAAUCCUUGCCACGAACAACUCUUAUAUCAAUUAUCCAUUUGCUUUUUCUUCUCAGUUAUUGAUAUAGUUGCCCAUAGCUUAGCUCGAUGACUUAUGUACGUAUGUGCAAAAGCGUACUAAUGAUUGAUCGAGCAAGUUAAUGAUAUGGAAGCAAAUUUCAAGCGUCGCGUAACAACUUUGGAGCGUAGCAUUCCAAAGAAUGAUCCUCCUGCUUGAGAUGAUUACACUCACUUCAUAUUAGCAUUGAGCUUUUUGUCUUUUGUAGUGUUUGAACUUACCGAUAGUUUGUGUUUUAGGAUCUCAACUUAUAACUUGAGAGAUAUUGCUACUCCUAUAACCAAUGUUAACAUCAUGUUGUAACACUUACGGGUAAUAUGUAAGAGAGCAUUUUUUCUCACCACCCUAAACUAGGGUGUAUGCUUACCAUCACUUUCAAAGCUUGACAUAUGUCCACUAAGGCCAUCUCCAACCUAUCUGGCCAUAGGGCCAUAGGGCUAAAAAUAGUGUGAAAUGAUACGAAAACCUUUUCCAACCGAGGGCUAGGCCAUAGGGCUCAUGGGCUCCACUGGACCAAAAAUACCAAAUCAGGCCAACCGGCUAGCCUAAAUGAGUCAGUUAACCAGCCCCGGGCCGGCCUAAAGUUUGAAUUGCAACGGCUAGUUGGCGUCAUGCUGACGCCAAGUAGCUGUUGGAUUUGAUUUUUUUUUUUUGGGACAAAUUUAAAAAAAAAAUCUAACCAAAUCUUUUAGAAAAUCCUUUUAUUUAUUUAUUACAUUUUUGUGCUUAGGUGAAGUUGCUAGUGAGGAAAUUCUUAAUCCUUAUCCGCACAACUCUACUGCUAAGGAGUAUCUGUGAGUGGACCCUUUCUAAAAUUUGCAUAAUUUCAUAGUUUAAUUGCGUAAAUGAAAUGCAUGCCUUACCAGUUAUUAACUGAUCUUUAUGUUAAGCAUGUUUAUGAAAUAUGUUGUUUAUCGUCUCAUUUUUUGUGAGGAAUUAAUUGUUGGCCUAUAUUGAGCUAUAUUUUAAAUUAUCGUAUUUUCUAUAAAAACCAUAAACUGGUAGACUAUCUGAUGGAUGACGAUAGGAUGCUAGAACAUGUUUUAGAAACCCCUUUUUAUAGUAUAGACGAUGGAUGACUUUAUACUAUGAAGUGGUUAUUUUUUAGAGGCGUAACUAUUUGUGCGUACCUAGUGGACACUAUGCUGCCUGGGGUGAGGAUCUAGUGUUGGUAGAUAGGCCAAGAGAAAUAAUCUCUAGCUACGGGCUGAGGGACACGGAGCAGGCAUUGGGCCGGGAGUUGGUAAUCUCUGGCUACAGGCGCAGAGACCACGGUGCUGGCAUAGGACCGGGAGAUAUAUAUUUAUUCAAUGAUCUUACUAGUAGUACAUCGCAUUACGAGACGAUCUGUGAGACGUUUGAUAUUUUGUGUUCUACGAUGUCUGUUGAGAUAUUUUUGGCAUGCUAGGGUUUUCAGUAAAACCAUCAUUUAUUAUACUAGUAGUUUUCUUUAAAUAAAUUGUAGAGGUUAGUAUCUUGAUAACUAUUUUAUUAUUAUUAUAUAUAUGAACUUGGUCCACUCACCUUUGUUUUGCACCCCCAUUCAGGUUUUAGAAACGGUGAUUACGAUGCGACGUACGAGGCAUUCCCCUACCAAUAGCAGUUUAUCACUCACUUAAGUGAUAUCUUGUAAUGACCUUUCCUUUUGUGAUCUUGUUUUAGAACGUGUGCUGGGCACUCUAGACAUUUCAUUAAACCUUGUUUAUUACUUCUAGAUUUUAAUGUUUAUUCAUGAAUAUUUCCCCCUAAUCAUUACUCUUGUAUUCUAUAAAUGGCUUUCGUCACCCUUUGGUGUCAACCAGCACGUGCCUAUCCGGGUAUUCGGGGAAUAUCGGGGUCGGGACAUGUCACAGUGAAAUCUGAAUAACUGCUGAAUUGGUCGGGGGACUGCACCGAACUUCGUUCCACAAACAUGGGUUCGGUUCUUUGUUGACGUCCCAUGAAACAACACCACCAGCAGAAGUGUUGAGGUUGUUGGAGAGAACGAUCAUGGCGGUUCGCUGGUUUGAGGAUAGUGCAGAGAACACCACAGAAACAGGAAGGUAGCAGAACAAGGACAAGAAGAAAUGGAAGUUGAAAUACAGGACAAGUGAGGUGGCUUGGCGGCCAUAGCUCCUUAUUUUCCGGUUACAAAGAUUGUGCGAGGGAGAUUUGUAGUAUGUAUACUAUAGUUUAUGUGAUUUUUCAGGUGGAAGGAGGAGAGAUAGAGAGAGGAGAGAGAGAGGAUCAGAGGUAGAUGUCUGUGUGUUAGGUUAUGGAAUGUUUGGGGGAACAAGAAAGUUUGUGGGAGCAGGGAACAAGGUGAAAGAAGAGAAAAACGCUGGGCGUGUUGGUUGGGAUAGGGGAGCGGAGUUGACUUGCACUGUUGACCAAUGGUUCUGUUUCUUGCAAAGACUUUAAAUGGAGAGUUAAAAAACAGGUGGUCUCUACAAUGUGGAGUGUGGAAUUAAACUCCACCAAGCGAUUUUUUAGCAGGGGCUUCUUGUUAUUGGCAUCGUGAUCGGUAAAUUUAAAUUACGAAUUUUUUUUUUUGGAAAAGGCUUCUUCUAAUUUAAUACAAACUAAAAGAUAUACAGAUACUAUAGUUUAUGUGAUUUUUCAGGUGGAAGGAGGAGAGAUAGAGAGAGGAGAGAGAGAAGAUCAGAGGUAGAUGUCUGUGUGUUGGGUUAUGGAAUGUUUGGGGGAACAGGAAAGUUUGUGGGAGCAGGGAACAAGGUGAAAGAAGAGAAAAAUACUGGGCGUGUUGGUUGGGAUAGGGGAGCGGAGUUGACUUGCACUGUUGACCAAUGGUUCUGUUUCUUGCAAAGACUUUAAAUGGAGAGUUAAAAAACGAGUGGUCUCUACAAUGUGGAGUGUGGAAUUAAACUCCAC
rnacentral:lncRNA from 1 species